rnacentral:lncRNA from 1 species
UAGGAAAGAGCGUAAGAUAAAAGCCAAAAUCACUAACAAAAAAUGGAUUAGCAACAAAAGAAUCCAAUUCUUUUUUUAUUUAUUUAUUUCCCGAUAUAAAAUAAUGAAACUUAUUAAUGGAAUGACUAUAAGAAAGAUCCAUUCAUAGGCGAUUUUUUCUGCUCCUAGAAAUCCUAUGCUAACAAGUGUAAUCAAAGAAAUUACUAGGUUUCUAAUAAAUAGUCUAAGUGCUCUCCUCUCUUUACUUUGUCGCAUCAUUUUUUUAUUUUGUCACAGAAUUUUUUCCAUUUUGAUUUCUAUUUAUUUACCGUGCUUUUACCAUGUCUCCCGAACAAUCUCAGUACAUAUGGCGCAAGACGAUUCCACAUAUCGAGGUCGGAAUGGGAUCGGGUGUUUUCACGUCUUACCGUAGUGCCCGUGGAAAUCCAAACGAACGAAAGGAAUAGUUAAGCAUUCUCAUAGGCUCCAGGCGAAAAAGAGAGGAAAAAGGCUCUUCCUUCUUUUGUCACAAGAAUAGCUCCAGUUGAAUAAGCUGUGAUGUCCCUCUCAUCUGUGCUUGCCGCCUUUUCACCACGGUUGGCUGACUCCGGCUUUCCAGUCUUCUCUUUCCUGCGCGCUGGACGGAUGCUAGCUCUUCUCUUUGCAAGAAGGUUUGUAUGAGAAUUAAAUUAUAUUAAUAGAGUGAGAUUCGUGUGCAGCUGAUGAAAUAGCUAGGGUUGAUGAUAUAACUCUAACAACGGUUAUUGCUAAGACUGGUUUUCUGGUAGUCAAAUUGAUUAGAUUAUUGGUUUCAUUAAAAAUAUUAAAAAUUUAUUAAAAAAGAAACCUCAAUUCUACAAUUCAACCGAUCUGAUACCAUCUUCGGAUCAAUUCCCAAUCUAACUAGCCAAUCUAAUUUCGUUCAAACAUUAUUGGCAAAAUCAUAGUUUCAAAUCUCCCAUGUGUAAAGCUCUUUAGCGGUUAUAGUUUUGCCUAUUCAUUGAGGGUAGCAUAAGGGAUUGGCGGGGCCAAAGCCCCUAAAAUAAAAAAUAUCACAUUGGUCCAUUUAUAUUUUAUAAAAUUAUAAAUGAGUAUAACAUCAAAUUGCAAUUAACUCCCAAAAUUGAUUUAACUCAAAAAAAAAAUAUUUUGCAUGUUUUCGCCUCGAUCUUGCAAGAAAAAAAUGCAAACUUAUAUACAUCAUAAUCUAUUUAAUUAAAACACUGACAAACAAACCAAAAUACAAAAGAUAAUAUAUAUAUAUAAGUCUGCAUUACCAUAUAAUAUAUACAUAGAAAAUUUCACGAAAAUAAUUAGAAAAAUAAACUGGUUACUGCUAGAAACUAAUUAAAUCUGGAAUUUCUUGUUGAUGAGAAUUAUAAACUGGAACAUAUUCAAUGAGUGCAGCAGUUUCUUCGGCAAAUGAAAUUUUCUUAUUAUUUUUUUCUUCAUUGAUCUUUAAAUUUUCAUCAAAAACCACCCAUUUAUCUGUUAUUACUGUCUUCAAAGCUUCCUUGUGUUCAACAAUGGCUGCCGUUUCGUCAUUUUCCUCGAUACUAUAAUCCCCGACAGAAUCUUCGUAGGUCGUCAUGGUCAUAUCUGAAGCCCCAUUGACGAUUCUCUUGAGUUCUUCGACUUCUUCCUUCGGGAUCUGAGCAACCGUGGGGAACUCGUUGGCGUUCAUGACGCCGAAUUCCUUACAAGACUCGAAAAACAAUGACAGUUCCUCGCCUUGUGUCAUCGCCUUUUGGAGAACCUUCAAUGCCGUCGCUGCUUCGGGUUUUUUGACCGAGUAUAUGUUCAACAGAACCUUGGUGAUCUCGGUGCAAAUCCGGCUAUAAACGUCGUAUAUCUCAAUAAUGAUACAAUCCAUAGCUUCGAGAAUCAACGGCAGUUUCAUGUUUUCAGCUCGUGGCUUGACUUGUAGUAACAUAUCUAGCAAAGAUUGCAAUUUUUGUAGUUUCGACAGUUGUUGCGCCAUCGGCGAACGUUCAUCGGAUUUUCGAUUGUCUUUUUCCGAUAAAACGAGGGCUCGUUGGUCUAAAAACGCAUAGUAUUCACGUACAAAAGCAUUGAAACCCCAUGUCUUUCCCGAGGUUGUAUGCCCGUCGGUAAAACUCGAUAAAUCGAAUGGCAACCGCCCCAUCUUUUCGACGGCGGGAACUUUACAAUAAAACACACCGUGCAUUAGCAUUAAACCUUUAACAGCAACGACCCAACUCCGAGUCUUCUCCAUUCUCCUAGACAAAGCCCAAACGAGAGGACGAAGACUAAUCGGCGACGCUCGUAUCCACGAGAACACAAUUUGAGCAUUCCUUUUAUCAAUAUGAUACUCAUCAUGGCUCGUGGCUUGGAUGAUGGAGAUCUCGAGAUCGGGAUUCCGAAACGAACUUUUGCCGGAAAAAUUAGCCCAAACUAUGCUGUUCUUAUCCUUAAUAAUGCCAGUGACCUUCUUCCAUAACCCCAUAAUUAAAUUUUCUUUUCUUCAAUUUUCGUAGCUAAAUGUUUGUUCUCAGAGAAGAGGAAGGAGAAAAACAACUACGAAUUGAAGUUUCUGAAGCUGUUUUUUUUUUAUUUUUCCUAUUUAUUUUAGGUUUAAAAUUUUAAUUUCCAGCUUGUAAAUGCCCUUUUACGUAAUUAUUGUUAUUUUUUAUAUAUUUUUUGGGUCAACAAAUUUAAAAAUAAUUUUUUUUUUUUAAAAAGGACGUGUUGAGGUGAAAUGGUUUAUAUUGCCGGCUAAAUGUAUAUUACUAUAUUAGUGACUAAUGGUUUGGCAAGAUUGCUUGUCUAUCUGCCAUCUGUCUAUAAUAAUUUAAAAGGGUUAAUUUCAUUAGAUGUCCUCAAACAAUGGAAUGAGAUCUAAAUUACUCCUUAAACUUCAAAACUUACCAAUCAAAUCCUCGAAUUGAAGUAUUUCAUAUCUUUCUAUCAAUCUAAUCAUCAACUUCGGUGUUAAAUACCUACUUCGGCCCAGCCCAUGAAUACCUAAUGAUUUCUUGUGUAUCUAUCAUUUGUCACUAUAUAUAUUGAGAUACCAUCAAGUGUUUGAACUUCAAAACUUUACAAUUAAAUACUCAAAUUAAAAUAUUUCAUGUAUUUCUAUUAGUCUUAAAUUCUAAUCAUCAUUUGCAACGUUAAAUACCAACUUUGACCUAACCCAUGAACACUCGGCGAAUUGUUGUGAUAUAUUUUGAGAUUUGUAUAAUAUAUAUUGGUCAAAUUGUGAUUUUAAUUUUUUUUAUGCUCAAAUUUGUGAUUUAGUCCUUACAUUUCAAUUUGACAUAUGGUCAUUAAUUUUUAUGAUGUUAUUAAUUAGUUUAAAUAAUACACCAUUAACCAUUUUUAGUUAAAUUACUAAUGUGGAUUUUUUUUUUUCAUAAAACACCUCUUUAUAGUCAUCAUGUUAACAUGGGUUUUUCGAGUUGGAAGCGGUUCAUAUCAAACGAUUUAUUCAAAAUAGUUAAUAUCAUUAAUUAUUUGAAUUAAUUAACGAUAUUAUAAAAAUAGGUGAUCAAAUUAUUUUAAAUUAAAAUACAAUAACUAAAUCUCAAAUUUUAAAUAUAGUAGAGGGUCUAAAAUCAUAUUUUGAUAAUGUUUAUUGCAUGCAUGUUUGCCAUAUACAUUUCAUGUCUUAUUUUUUUGUUAUUUAGCCUUGGUUCUUUUAGUUACAAAUGGGAAAAGUUUUAAGGGUUUGAAAAUAAAUUUUGGGAUAAAUAUUAAAUUUAUGCAUUAACUUCGAUUCAAUGUGUAAUUAUACACAUAACGUAGAGCAUAUUUAAACUAUAUGGAUCAAAUUAUAAAUAUUUAUGUACCUACUACGUGUACAUCGCAUAAAUUUGACGUAAUAAAAACUGAUCGUGCUAAUAAAAUUUAUGAGGGUUAUUUCAUUCUUUUUUAACUCGUCAAAUUUAUAUUGUUUAUUGAACAUAUAUUUUAAAUAUGUUUCAUGAAAGGACUUGGCAAGCAACCCACCCUUUCCGCCUGAAUGGUAAAUUUAUUGUUUAACCCUUAGAGAGUUAUAAAAUGUUAAGUUAAUAUAGUGGCGAAUUUGCAUUUUGGGGUAAGCUAAUUGAAAGACCUAAUUGAUAAAAUACUCAAGGGUUGGUACUACGGAGCAAGCAAAGGCCUCCCCUUGCCACCACACAAAUGGUAAAUUUAUUGUUUAAACCCUAGAGAAAUUAUAAAAUAUUAAGUUAAUAUAACAAUGAAAUUGUAUUUUGAUAUCCCAAAAAUUUAUAAUUCAAUUAUGGCUCGUAAGAAAAAGAUUUUUGACUUCACGACCGAUGAUGUUGAAGAGAAUGCUUGGAAGAUUGAAGAUAUAUUUUAAAUUCAAGUACAUCUAGUACAAUUAACCCAAAAAAUUCAAACCAAACCUUAAAAUGAACUUAUUAGGCAUCAAGUUCAAUAGAUAAUUAGGUAAAAAUUUAAUUGCACUAGAAAUCCCCAAACUAUGGUUUUCAUUCUAAAUUGGUCCUCAAACUUUAAAAUGUUCUAAUUACAUCCUCAAAUCAUUAAAAUCGUUAAUUUAACCAUUAAAUAACACGCCAAAUCUUAUGUGACAUAAUUUAAAAUAAAAAUUAAAAAUGGUAAAAUAUUACAGCAAACUUUUAAAAGUUAUAACUAAAAGAAGAAUAAAAGAGAAAGUGAAUGAUAAAACUUUCGUAAAAACUUUAAAAACAUCAUAACAAGAUAUUUAUAACAUUCAUUUUUUUUCAUUAAAAUUUUUAUUCUAUAUAAUGCCACAUAAGAUUUGACAUCUCAAAACGGUUAAAUUAACUAUUUUAUUAACGGAAAGACCUUAUUGAUAUAACCUCAGUAGUUUAAGGAUGUAAUUAUAAUGUUUUAAAGUUUGAGGAUGUAUAGUACAAUUAACUCUUAGGAAAAAAAAUAAACCUAUUUUCGUUAUUUUUUUUUUCCAAAAUGAAAUGAAAUCUAUCUUCAAACUUAACUCGUAAAAUGGAGACUGAUAAUAGAAUAAUUAAAAGUAUUCAUAAGUCGAAACCACUCAAAUUCAGGAUGAACUAUUGUAUGGUAUUAAACUAUUUAUACUUAAGCUUCGACUAAAAUCAAAUAACCCGAUCUUAUUUAUAUAUUCGAAUAAUUUCGGAUUUUAAAAUUUGUUACCCUUUAAAUAAAAAUUGACGUAACCAUAGAAGCUACUGAGCACACUUUUAACAUUGAUUACAACGGAAUGAAACAACGGAUACAUACCAAAGCCUAUUUUAGAGCCAAAAAUGUGAAAAAGAAAGGCCAAUAUCUCUUUGCUUUUAUUUUUGUCUCUUUUACCACUUGGAUUUUGUGUCCUUUGAUUAUAUAUGUAUAUGGCAUACUCUUUUCAAGCUUUUUAGGGUAUAUAAAAUUAACUCCGAUAAAGUAGAAUUGUUUAAGGAUCGAUUGGUUUAGAAAUGUUCAUGAGCCGAGUUUAAGUAUAAUAUUAAUAUAUUUUAUACUUGUUCAAGCCCGACCCAGCUUGAAAUAUGAGUUAAAAAUUUUGCCUAAACUCAUUUAUAUUUAUAACGGACUAAUUCAAACCUAUUUUAGGUCCACCUAUAUUGUUUUUUUUUAAAUAUGUUUAUAUUAUAUUAUUUUAAAUUUUAAUAACUUUAUACAUUUUUAUUUAUUGAAUUUUUUAUUAAUUUUUUUAAUGUGUUUUAAAUUACAUAAUAUAAUAUAAUGUAUUAUAAACUUAAAAACGGGUUGAUUCAGGCUUGGGUUUGAAAUGUUCAAGCUUGAGCCUGACUCAUAUUUAAAACGGGACUAUUCUUUUUGUCCAAACUCAUUUUUUGGGCUUAAUAUUUUUAUCCAAACCCUCUCAAAUUUUGUACGGGCUUUCGGGCUUGAGCGGGUAGCCCGACCAAUGAACAGAUCUAAUUUGGUUUGAAUUAUAAUUUAAUAAUUAAAAUUUUAUCAAGUUGGAAGCUUUUUUAGGUCUAAUGUCAAAUUUAGCUAUCAAUGUUUACAUUCUUUUUGUCAAUUUAGCAAUUAUUCUUUUUUUUAAAGCUAAAUUUGACCAUUAACCUUUAAAAAAUAGUUAAAUUUCUCUUUUUAAUAGAAAUGCUAACUAAAACAUUAAUUUUUUUAAAGAUAUUGCCAACAGGACACUAGUUGAUUUAUAUGUUAUAAAAGUAUUCAAAUAAAAAUAAAAAUUUCAAAAUUCAAAAAAAUAAAAUAAAACAAAAGGUUCAUAAAAUAAAAAAAAUAACGUGAAAUGCAUGUGGAUUGUCAUGCAGGCCGUCAUGUUUUUAAAAUUUAACAUUUUAAUUAGUAUUUACAUUAAAAACAAUAAUUUGACUCUUUUUAAAAUAUUAAGGGCCAAAUUAACAAAAAAAAUAAAUAUUAAAAACUAAAUUUGACAUUAUGCUAUUAUUUUACUUAGAUUUUCGAGCCAAAAACAUAUUGAAAUAUGAUGUGACACUAUUCGAUCGAAUAAGUGGAAAUGUUUAAGGUAUGUCUAUAGGUCGAAUUAUGUCAUGAGUCAGAUUUUUUUCUACUCGAAUCAUGAUAAAUUAGAUCCAAAUUAAUUCGAUUUUUUCUAUCUUAUAUUCGUGUCGUGUCUAAAAUUAUCAGGUUUUCGAUCAAUUUUACAAGUUGUGCAUGGCACCCAAGAAGAAAAAAAGCAAAAAAGUGGGGAAUUGAAAGAUUUUUCAACCUAACUACAGCUGCCGUUUCUUAAAAGCAAUAAAAGAAGAGUAAACCCAAAAAAAAAGAAAAGGGAAAAAUUAAAAAAAGAGAAAAAGCUCCCCAAGAAAAAGAGACAUAUAGAGAGAGCUAGCAAAGUAAUAAAUAAAUAAAGAAAAAAAAAAGUUAAAAUUUGAAGUUUGCUAACAAGAGAAUUAUAUAUUUUUUAUAUGAUACUCGAAUUUUUUAUUUUUAUUUAAUAUUUAUUUUAGAAUAAAUAAAUUAUAGUUGAAGUUUUUUUAAAAUAUAUAUUUGAAUAAAGGUAAAACUCUAAUUUUAUAAAUAUAAAAUACACAUUUAUCAUGUAGACCUACAAAUUUUUUGAAUUUGCUGACUGAGUCUCAACUCGAUUGGUAUUGAAAUUGUUGCCAAUGCAGGAGGACGUGGGUUUGAGUACAUUGAAACGCAUUAUCUUCCUAUUUAAGAGUUAAGAAGGGGCUAUGAGUAGUUCUAAGCUUUGUGUAAAAAAAACAUAUUCUUUGAUUUGAUAUAAUUAUACACAUGAAACUUGUAUGUAACAUAUCAACGUAAAAUUGUGUUAAUUUAUAAAACUUGUGCCCAAUAUUUACCCCUUAAUGGGCCUACAGAAUGCGGAUGAGCAAAUUAGUCUAUGUAUAUUAAAUCAAAGAACAAAUUGAUUUUUCUGUUAAAAUUUCCAUCCAUUUCUACAGUUAAAAAUAAGUUCAAUCAACACUAAUUAAGAGAGCUCAAGCAUAAUUUAUCGAGUUGAUGUGAGCAAGAGAAAUAAACUAAUUUUUUACUAGGUAAACAAGCUUAAUUGACCCUAAUAAAUCAAGAUCAAGCAUGCACCCUAAUUUGCAUCUUGAAUCAAGCUCAAACUUUUUUAUUGAACACGAGUCGAGAUUUGAGGUUCAAAUUUUAAUUCAAACUUGAGCUUAAACUUUUUUUAACUUAAGCUUAAGUUUGAUUCGAUUAAAUUACAUCAAUAUAAACUGAUCCAAUCAACUUGAUUAGAUCAACCCAAUCAACUCACCUAAUUCAUCCAUCAAUGUACAUAACUUUAAUUCUUAAAUUGGUUCUUAAAUUUUUUUUUAUCAUAUGUGACUUUUAAAAUAUUAAUUUUAUCUCAUUUUAUCCAAAAAAAAGUGUAUGAUAUCCAAUAAAAAUAUGCCACAUGUCAUAUUCUUAUUGGGUGAUAUUAUUUUUGGAUAAAUUGAGAUAACUUAUUUUAUAAAAAAAAGGGAUAUAAUUAAGAACUAAUUUACCUACAUGUAUUGUAAGUGGUUCUUAAACUAUUAAUUUUAUAAAAAAAUGUGUACGACAUCCAAUAAGAAUAUGCCAUGUGUCGUGUUCUUAUCGAAUGAUAUUAUUUUUAGAUAAAUUGAGAUAAAUUUUAAUAAAAAAUUAGUAUAAUUCAAGAAUUAACUUACCUAUAUAUAUACACGCACGCACUAAAUAUUAAGAGUUUGACUGAGUUAAUGCCACAAAUCAAUCAGAUUCCAACUUAAUUGUGGAAUUAUCAAAAAUAAUUUUUUUUACAAAGCACUAAAUAUUAUUUUGAGAGUAUUUUUAUCUUUUUACAAUUUUAUAUCAAAUCUAAAAGAAAAUACAUAUAUAUGAUGAAAUUUGAACUCAAAAUCAAGGUUUUUGAACGGGACUAGACCGACUAGUUAAAUCGGAUCUAGCCAAGAUACCAGUCUAAAGAAUGGCAUUUAAUCAGUUGACCUAAAAACUGGUAUGGACCAAUUGAAUCGGACUCUUGAAUCAAAAUUUUUAUAUUUUUAUGAAUUUUUUAAUAAUUUAUUUGAUCGAACUCAAUAUAUCAAUUAGAUCGAUGAAUCGAUGACUUAAUCAAUUCGAUCAUCAUUGCGUUGUAGAAACCUGUACAAAAUAUCAUUAACAUUUAUUCACUCAACAUUGCUAUUUCGAACAAAUUUAUAUUUAAUUUUAUGAUAAUAUUUUAUGAAAUACUUAGAUGAUUAUUUUCCUCAACUGUAAUAAGCUACGUGUAUAUAUAUAUAUAUAUUAUGUACAUGUAUGGUGCGGGUAACCUUUCAUGGUCUUUCACUGUACAGCCGAUCCCACACGCCCUUCUCUCUCUCUCUCUCUUUGUUUCUUCGUCUUUUCAUGCUCUCCUUUCUCUUCUUUUUCUUCUUUUUUUUAAUUUUCCCCUUUUACUUUCCGUUUCUCUCUCUUUCACUGAUACAAAGUAAGAUUUUCCUCAGCAUCUGGCAUGAGCUCAACACCGUAUUUCUCUCCCCAAUUCCCCUCUCUCGAUGUUUUCGUAAGUGCCUCCUUUCAUUCCUCUCUUUCAAAUGGAGAAAUUGGCCUCGAAUUUGAUUCAAACUUUUACGAAAUUCCUGUAUUAAUGGCCUCUCUUUGAAUCGGUCUGUGUGUGUUUUGGUUUCAGGAAAGAAAGGAAAGUGAAGUAUUACCGGUAGAGGGGAAUCACCGGAGCUGGGAGACUAGAAUCGACGGUGGUAUGGACUUGGACUUUCGCCGGCAGCCGCAUGCGGUGGAGUUCGACGUUGAUUUCUGGCCCGUUGAACAUCCUAUGGAACCACAAGAUGAAGAUCGGCCUGUUAAAUGCCCAAUGUCAGCUGCUUCGUCCAUCAAUGUAUGUUACUAUGUUAUUUUUAAAACCAUAUUUAGAUUUUUUUUAAAAACAAGAUAUUAAAAAAAAGGUUAAAUGACUAAAGAAGCCCUUAAACUAGUUUUUUUUUAAAAAAAUAAGCUUCUAAACUUUUGUUGCAACUCAAAUAAACCCUUAUGUUUUGAUUCGUAUUUAAAUUAGCUCUUGAAUAAUGCUUUAUAUUAAGAAUUUUAUUUAAUUUUAAACUAAAGGAUAGAGGCUUAUUUAGAUACAAGUUAAAGAUUAAGAGCUUAUUUGGUUUUUAAGGGUUUAUUAGGGUUUAUACAAAACAUUAAAAAGGUUAAAUUACUACAGAAGCCCUUAAACUAGUUUUUUUUAAAAUAUGCUUCUAAACUUUUUUUGUAACUCAAAUAAACCCGUAUAUUUUGAUUUGUUUUUAAAUCAGCCCUUAAAUAAUGAUUUAUAUUGAAAAUUUUAUUUAGGUAUAAAUUGAAGUAUAGAUGCUUAUUUAGAUACAAGUUAAAAAAAGAUUAAGAGCUUAUUUGGUUACCAAUUAAAGUUUAAUGGUUUAUUUGUUUUAAUAAAAAUAUAAGGACUUAAUUAAAUAUACUAACAAAAUUCAAAGGCUUAUAUAGUAUAUUAGCCAUUAAAAUGGAACCUCAUCUUUUUUUUUUUUUUUUUGAAAUAUUCACAUCUCUUAAGUAAGGUUUCGGUUUUGAGUAUUGUAAGGGUGAAAAUAGGCAUUAAAAGAGCUUUUCUCUCUCUCAUUCAGAAUUUGACUCGACUCAACUCUAAUAUACUUAGUAGCACAAUAUGACUUAUUUAAAAUAUUAACCAUUUAUAUAUGUAUUCCGGACCUUGAAAAGCUCAAUAUCUCUUAAAUAAAAUUUCAAUUUUGAGUAUUGUAAAUAGAGAAGUAGGGUUACUACAUCCUUUCCCCCUCCGUUUGGGGUUUGGCUUGACUCGAUUUUGGUAUAGUUGUAGCACAUUGUGGCUAUUAAAUAUUAAAAUAUUCAUAGCCCAAAUAUGAACAUAUUUGCCUUAAGUAUUAUUAUCAAAUUUUCUUCAUAUCUAAAAUAUGUACUGUAUUUGAAGAAUGGAAAAGGGCAUGAAGAAAUGGUGGUCGGAGAGAGUUCGCGUAAGAGAUCAGAACAACCACAAACGGUGAACGGAAUUGGGGUGGCAGCAAUGACGGAGCCACUGGUAAGAGCGGUGCGUAAAAGGCAACACACGCUCACCAGCGACAACCACAUAACGGUGGAGCCUCGUAUCGGAAAACCAUCUCUUCCUCCGAUCCCGACUCCAACUCUUACCGGUUCCCAAAUGCUUCAACAACUUGACAAAGCUUAACUCAUUUACCAAAAAAAAUUACCCAUCUUUUUUUUUUUAUCAAUGCAUUUGGAGAGUUGAGAAAAUUGAAAAUUUUCCCUUUUAUGUAGGAAAGGGAAAAUCCAAGAAAAUUUGUAACCCAGGCUUUCAUAAUCUAGUGCUACCAUGUUGAGAUCCUUUAUGUACAUUAUUUUAAAUUUGAAAUUUUCUUUAAUGAAGAAAAUCUAUGAUUUCUUAAAAAAAUACGAGACUGAAUCUAAUUAGUUCGUACAAUUAUAUUGAAUUAAUUUUUAAAAAUACGUUCGACCAAUUCAAUAUUCGAAUUUCGGCUUGAAGAAAAGUGUUAAGAAAUGUGUUUCACUUUCGGAAAAUGUCGAAUAUGUAAUUGAUACGAGUAUAUUUAAUUUUUCUUAUUUUUCGUGUAUUGAAAUUAUUUAUAAAUUUAUGUUCGUAUAUGUAUACAACAUUAAGUAAAUGAAUAAUCAAAACAUCUAGCUUAUUUUUCUUUAACGUAUAUGAAAGUAGAGGCGAAGCCAUAUUUUUUAUUUUUGGAGGGACCGAAUUUGAAUUACAAAUUUUUGAAGAGAGUUAAAAAUAUAAUUUCGUCGAACUUUACAAUUUUCAAAAGAUUAAACUAUAAAAUUUUUGUGUUUGAAAUGGAUAUAAUUUUAAAUUUUAAAAGGGGUCAAAAUUAAUUUUACUAUUAAAUUAACUUAAAACUUUGUAAAUAUUUAAGGGACUAAAACGAUAAUUCUUUACAAGUUUUUCAAAAAAAACAUCAAGAACUUUUAUAUAAUAUUUAUUGAAAAAUAAUUUUGAUAUUAUUUUUACCAUUUUAAAAUGGUAAUAAACUGGAAUUAAUUAUAAAUUAAAUAAAAACAAAAUUUAAUUGGAUUGAGUCCAAGUAAUGAGGGUUUUUAUCCGAAGACAGAAUCCUAUAAAUAAACAAUAAAACAAACAGAAUGAACUGAAAGUGCGAAAAAAGAAGCUCAUUUCCUCGAUUAUGAAGAACACAGUAGAGGGGACCAUUUUUCUACUAAAAACAAUUCUUCGUUUCAUCUGUUUGAAAAAGCAUGCACUAUGUGCCUAUGCCUGCCCAACACAAUUUUUUUUUCUUUUUAGUUUAUUUUUAUUUUUAUUUAAUCUUAUUACUAAAUAAAUAGAUCUGUUUUGAUCUACUUUUUUAUGUACCCAUAGUAAUUAUUUAAGCUUCACUACAAAAUUGAUUAUACUGUUUUUUUUUCAUUUAGUAAUUUUUUUAUUAAUAAUAAUAUUUAAAUUAUUAAUUGCAUCUUAUUUCAAAAAAAUGUAUAAAAAAUUAACACAUGUCAUAUUAUUAUUGGUUGAUUAAUAAUUUAAAUAAAAUGAAAUAAAAUGAAUAAUUUAAUAGAUUGAAAUCUUUAUGCUAUUUUAUAUUUUUUUUAAAAUUAUUUAUAUUUAAUACCAUAAACAGGAGAAAAUAUUCUAUACAUUGCAACUAAAAUUUUUAGACACUAAAUAAAGUUUCGAAGCUGAGUUUUCUUAAAACUGCUUUGCUGAACAAAAAAAUAUAUUAUCAAUGUACUAAAUAUUCACUCUUAUACAAAAUAUCAAUAGGAUUUCGGAUUUUUUUCCGAAUUUUCAAAAAACAUAUCUGUAUUCGAAAUCCGAAACUAGAUAAUAUACUUAAUUCCAUUUUUAUUCAGUUUUCAUGAUAUAAUAUAUAUCCUUUGAAUCUGCCAUCUUACGUGCAAUAACAAAUCCAUUUAUUUAUUGAUUAAUGGAUUUAUUUUCAUAAACAUAAUCUUCUUUAACUUUAAUAAAAAGAAUGGACCAUUUUCUUUUAGAACUCUGAAAAUUUUAUAUACAAAAGAAUGUCAGCAAAUGCAGCAUGUGGGGACAAAGCUCCAAAACAAUUUUCUCACUGAUGAAGCACAGCACCCGCUUUCCCUAAACCAGUCUUCAGACAAAAAGCAUUCCCUAUAUAUAUUGCAAUCAAAAUAUAUAUACUCACAUUUAUAUGCAUACAUACAUGUAUAUAAAGUUAAAAAAGAGACUGUAUCACUUUUUCUUACAAUAUAACGUUACCUGUUUCUAAAAGGAAGGGGCAUAUACAUCAGAGAGAGAGAGGGAGAGGGAGAGGGAGAGGGAGAGGGAGGGAGGGAGAGAGAGAGAGAGAGAGAGAGAGAGAGAGAGAGAGAGAGGGAGAGAGAGAGAGAGAGAGAGAGAGAGAUGUAGCUUUCACUUUUCACCUAUGGGUGAGAGAGACUGAAUAAUUGCAUUACUUUAACUUGGGUGUGAAUAUCGGAUAUAAAAUAACUCUAGAGAGAGUUUCACCUUUCACUAAUCGGUUAGAGAGAGAAAUUAUGUUAUUAAGACUUCGGUAUAAGUAUCGGAUUUGAGGAAUGUGAGUAAAAGUACCAUGAAAACCCCUCUAUUAAGAGUCGGAUUGUAUUUUGCCUCAUCUACUAAAAAAAUGAGUAAAUUAGUCCUUGUAUGUUAAAUCAAGGAGUAAACUGAUCAUUCUGUUAAAAAUUUCAUUCAUUUUUACUGUUAAAAACUAGUUCCAGUAUUUUUAUCAGUUCAAAUGGAUGAACUUUUAAUAGAAAGGAUCAAUAUGCUCUUUGAACAAAUGUACAAUGACUAAUUUGCCCAUUUUAAUAGAGAGUACAAGAGACAAUCUGACUUUUAGUACAAGAACCUCUAUGAUAUUUUUAUCGAGGUAUAUGUUCAACAAGGACAUGAUUAAAGAGAGAAAUUUAGUGUUCCACCUUUCACCUAUGGGUUAGGGAGAGUGAAAAACUAAUUACUUUCAGUCAAUAUCAGUCUAAAUAUAUAUAUGGAGAGAGAGGUUUGGGCUAGAGAGGAACGGUGUUAUUGUGAAUCGGGCGUAAGUAUCGGGAUAUGAGGCAUGUGUUCAACAAGGACAUGAUUAAACCAAGAGAAAUGUAAUUUUUCACCUUCACCUAUGGGUUAGGGAGGGUGAGAAGCUAUUACAUUGACUCAAAUGUGAGUAUUGGACAUGGGAUAUAUCCGAGAAGAAUGCAAUACCGAUAGCAUAUACGAUGAUAGUCACUGACGCAUAAAGGGAAUGGCUGAAUUCCUAAACAAUGCCGAUUGCAGUCCAACUUAUUUUGUAGAAGACAUCUCCUAAUUGGACAGGACGAACACAAAGCAUAGUGUCACGGUUCACACCAACCUGUAAAGUAUUAUCCGUUUCAGCCCAUUAGAUCUCAUGGUUUUUUUCCCACAAAAGAUGUCUCACAGGUUGAGGAUAUGGCAUGAACACUUAUAUUCCGAGACUAACUCUAUUACACACUUAUGCAUGAUUCACGACUCCCUCUCUAGGACCGUGACAUCUCUCGAAUGAAAGUCCAUUGUCCUCAACAACACAUCAUUAGUACCUCUAGAACUAACUCUGAUACCAAUUGUCACUAUCCAUACCAAACUACAAGAUAAUGUUCAUUCUAGCUCGUUGAACCUCACAGUUUUGUCCACAAAUGACACAUAACGAGUGAUAUGAACCCUUAAUAUAGUCGCUGUGAGUUUCAUAGUUCUCACUGGACCAUGACACAUGGCAGCCACAAAUUCAUUGUUCAGCUAGGGACGAGCCUUAAUUGGUUUAAACCGAUUUAACUGACAAAACCGAUCCGAUUUAGUUGAUUUGAUCACAAAGCAAAAACAGUUUUGGGCUAUAAAAUCUAACAAUCCAAAAUAGCUAACAACCUAAGAUGUUCAUCACAAGAUCACCAUAGAUUCUACACAUCAAAUUUUACACUAUAAAUAGCUUGAUGAGCUCUCCAUUGAGGCAAGCUCAAUAAAAUUUCUUUAUGUAACUUACAUGAAUAAUCUUCCCAUUCAGUGAUUGCAGCAGAAAAAGUGGCUAAAUUGAAAUAACAUCGAUCCGCACUUUGAAAAACUGUUUCAACCAGUUUAGUAUCCUUCAGAAAAAUGGAAUUCACCUGAGUAAUCUUCUCCGAUUGUGAUCGGGAUAGUCGAACCGCCUUGCCGGAUUGAACCUCGUUUGUGAAAGCUUGAGAUUUGCAUCCUUUCCAAAAAUAAAAUUGCGCCACCUGUUCAUCACAGAGAUUAACAUAUUCUCCUAUCUAACACUCACAUCUAAGUUCCAGUAACAUAACGCUUAGUACAUUUUUCGAUGCAACACUUAUAUUAAUGAAAUUAAAUGGCUUAUUUUCCAUUCUUGAACUAUUGACAAUGCAGUAAUUUGAUGUUAAGACGAUUAUCUCAGUCUAAUUAUGUUUUAGUCCCUCUACUACGUUGAAAUUUAAUAUCUAAUCCCUCUACUUUAAUUUAGUAUAAUUUGAUCCCUUUACUUUUAUGAUGAUAUUAGUAAGUCCAGAUUGAUAACACUAUUAACUGCUGCAGGUUAAUAACAAUAUUAAUGGUGUUAACAGAUUCAUAGAAAUCAACGUCAUCACUUUAGUGGCAGGUAUUAUCAAUUUGGACCUAUUAAUGAUCUUAUAAAAGUAAAGGGAUCAAAUUAUAUUAAAUUAAAUUACAGUAAUACGAUCGUAUCAUAUUCUUCUAUAGCUCAUAAUUAACAAAAUUUUGAAGCUGAAAAUACCAAUAGUAAGAAUACCUGAAGUGAAUGCAGAACAUUGACAAAUUUAUGGUCAAGCAACUGAUCUCGCCUUGCUAAUUGCAUUGGUUCCAUGAGGAGUUCAGAUAAAUCUGAGCCGAAGUUCAUGUCUCGAGAAUAAUAUACAUCAAAGCCAAGAGCAUGUAAUCUUCCCAAACGAAUAUCGAAUCCGAUGUCUUGAUUAGAAGCUUGAUGAGGAGAAAACCAAUACAUAUUAUCUGAUGCUGGCAAAGGUAGCAAUGACCAUGGCACAUUGUUAGACUUGUGUAAUACGUUUUCUUCGAGUAGCAAAAUAAGUUUAGCAUCCUCGUCGUGGGAACUAUCACGGCUGAACCAUAAAGUAAGUGUCAGCCGUUCUCUGCUAGUUACCUGUCAAAAAAUCUAAUACAUCAAAAAAACUAAGUGUAUAAACAAGGUAAAGGACCCUUUUUUAUAUAAUGUAGGACAAGUUUGAAUAAUAUCUUUGUUGCUUGAUCCAAGCUCAAAAAUCCUGCUUCGGAGUCAGUAUCAAGCUGAACACUAAGCAGCUACUCUACUUUUCCCAAUUGAACAUGAAUAGCAGGGACCAAGCCAGAAAAUUGCUUUAGGGGGACUAGAGAUAAAUCAUAAAUUAUUGGGAGGGCCAAAGUGCAAUUUUACCGUUAUACUAGCAUGCAAUUUCAUAAAAAUUUAAGGGGUUAAAUGGCAAAUCUACCAUUUCUGGUGGAGCCAAGGCCACUGCCUGCCCCCCUUUGCCUUCGUCCUUGCCGAAUAGCAUCCACUUUCCUUCAAUAGAUGAACUAGAUACUAUAAUAUAUAUACACACACACAUAUUACAAGAGAGACAGAUCACAAAAGUACCUCAUCGACAGAAUGUGUAUUGCGGCCGUCAGAUGUAUAAAUGACAGCAUCCUGAUAUACAAUAACUCGGUGAGUAUCAAUCAAAUGGUAUCUUAAACUAAUGAGUAAACAUGCUUUUCACUAGCUUCUAUUCCAAAUAAAGCGGAACAUGGCUGCAUCUUCUUCACUGAUUUUAUUAUCCUAGACUAUUUGGCUCCAACUCUUCAUUUCUCUUUAAGUACCCAUGUCUGACACAUAUCCCGAACAUGGAUAUGGAGAUACACCCUCCAAAUACAUGGAAAACCGUUAAAAAAUUAAGCACGCCCCUGUCCAACAUCAGGGUACAAUCCAUGCCAAAAUCUUAUAACUUAUGUAGAUCCAUUUCAAAAUCAUAUUCUAACAAUUUGAUUGUGCAUCACCAUUCUAAUAAGAGAAGACAUGUCAUAAGAAAAUAUUGAACAGAUGCACUUACUCCGACCAUAGGUGCAAUUGUUUUCGGUUCCCCGUCUUGGAAAUGAAACAGUCCACCUUCGAAAUCCUUUCCGUAACUAUUCAAAUAACAGACUGCCUUCAGACAAAUAAGAAAAACACCCUCAGCAAGAAUUAUUGACAAAAGACUAAUUGCGAAGGACAUUCCCCAAAAAAAAGCUGUUAACACAAACCGUAAAAUCGCGUUGCUUGAGAUAAGGCCUGUUAUCAUCACUAUGCCAACCUAUGCUUGCUCCUCGGCUCCAACUACAAAUACAUAUGAUGUAUGGUAAUCACACAAACGUUUAUCAAGGGUAAAGUGAAUAAACAAGCAAAUGCAUAAAAAAACUCAUGUUUGAAAUAUAUUCAGACAAUGUUUUGGAGAUGUCCAAAGACAGGCUAAAUAUAUGAAAAGCUCACAAAAAUCAACAUAGUCAGACAUAUAUCCAUAUCCCACACUAUCACCCGAAUCCGAAUAAUAUAGUGUAAAUGAAGCAUUAGUGCUUGCAAGCUAUUCAAGUUCGAUUUGGAAAAACUCGAAUUUGAUUUUGUAAUUAUUGAGCUGAGCUCGAGUGGAAUUUGAGCAUUGUAUACUUGACUAGAAUGGUUCGCAAGCCUAAUUGAGCUUUUACUUUUCUAGUAUAUUUUACAUUGAAAUUACCUUUUUACCCUUAUUACAUGGAAUGAGCUUAAUUACAAAUAAGUUCGAGCUUAAAUAUGAAUAAGCUUAAUCAAGCUUGAGUACGAAAAUUGAUAAACAAGCUUAAUUGAACUUGAGCUUGAGUAGCUUGAUUGUGUCUCAAGCCAAACUUGAGCUUAGAAAUUGAUGUUUGAGUGAGAAGCUUUGAAUUUCAAGUCGGGCUCCGUUCGGCUCGAUUACAUCCCCAAGGUUUAACUACCCAAAGAAAUUAAAUUUCCAUUGAAAUAUAUGAAAACACUCACAAAAAUCAACAUAGUCAGACAUAUAUCCAUAUCCCACACCAUCACUGGAGUUCAAAUAAUAUAGAUUUAAGUCUUGUAAAUGAAACAUUGGUGCUCGCAAGCUAUUCGAGUUCAACUAAAAAGAAUUCAAAUUUGAUUCAAUAAUGAUCAAGCCAAGCUCAAGCUGUCGAUCAAACCGAAUCCGAGUACUGUAAUACUUGAUUCAAACGGCUCAAUUGAGCCUUUCCCUUUUAGUAUAAAAUUACAUAUUUACCCUUAUUAUAUAAAAGGAGCUUAAUUACGAACAAACUUGAGCUUAAAUAUGUGUGAAUUUAAUGGAGAUUGAAUUCUAAAAUUGAUAAGUGAACUUCAUCGAACUCAUCAAGUAGCUCAAUUAUGUCUCAAGCCUAGCUCAAGCUUAGAAAUUGAUGUUUGAGUCAAACUCAAACCAAGUAUCGAGUCCUGAAUCUCAAGUCGAGCUCGAGUUUGCCACUAUUUGAGCUCAGCUCGGUUCAAUUACACCCAAACAAAUUAAAAUUCUUUAUAUCACUCUUAUCAUAUUUAAAAAAUUUCAGGCCAAAAUUGGUACCUAAUGAGGCCAGUAAACUCCGUAACAAGCUCAUAUUCACAACCAAAGGUCUCCUCUACCUUCUCUUUCAACCUAUCUGCAAAUCAAAAUUUCGAAAACUAAUAUUAACAACAAUGAUUUUUUCGAUUAAUAAAUAACAGAAAAAGAAAAAAAAAACAAAAAAGGAUUUAAGAAAAAACAAGAGAACCUCUGAUGGGAAGAAAAGGGAUGAUUAGAUGAGCAGAAUUAGUGGCUAUGAGAUGAGAAAGAGUCGUUGAAAAUACGUUUGGCCUGUAUCCAAUCGUACUACAGCUCUUGUGUAUGAACUCCAAUUCCUGUUUCGAAAAGGAAGAAGCUUUUUUUCGAUAAAAUUCAUUCGUUAAUUUGACGAUAUUGUUAUUUGGGAUUGAAAUUUUGGGGGUCUAACCUUGCAUUCAUCUUCUGUGAGGAAAUUAUGUAAAAUUAACCUGGGAUGGUCUUCCUCCAUCUCCAUGUCCGCCAUUUUUUUUUCUCUUUUUGCUUGCUUCACAGCUUAAAACUUGAAGGUUUAUGGGCCUGGUCAAGGCCCGGUUCCCAAAAAAUCCAGAUUCAAGCCUGAGUUUAGUUCGGGUAAGUCCGUUCAAAUGAUUCAUUUCACGGUUAAAAAUAUAAACUUUAAUUAUAAAAAAUAUGAAUAUUAAUAUUUUUUUAUUUUUUUAACCAAUAAAAUUGAAAUAAGCCCAAAACUAAAGUGGGCUAGGCCAACAACGCUACGCAAACUGCCCAACUUAUGGUAAAAUUCAAAACCAUAAGGGUAGUCGAGUAAGUCUUAACUCAAUUGGUAUCGAUAUUAUUGUUAAUAGAAGAUAAUAUAGAUUUGAGUCCGCUGAAACGUAUUAUUCUAUUAUUUAAAGAUUAGGGAAAGACUAUGAAUAAUUUUAGGUAUUGUAUUUUUAGAAAACAAAUGCUAGAAAUCAUAAUGUUUAACGUUUUGAUCAUUUAACUUAGUUGGGUUGGAUUAUGACUCCAACAUUUACUUUUGCCCCCCAAGAAAAUAUGUUUUUUUAUUUAAAAUAUUUUUUAUUAAAUUUAAAUCUAUCUUGUUAUCAAAAUUUUCAUUUAGACGAAUCAAGUUUAUUUUUAUAUUAGGUUAAUCUGGAUCGAAUCAGUUCAGGUUUUAAAUUUUUUUGAGUCAAUGGAGUUCAAAUCAAUUUUAAUUGUUGCGCUCGAGUUGUUUUGAGUUUAAGUCACGCGGGUUUGAGUUCAAGCCAUUAUAAGUUCAAAUCAUUUUACGCACUUAUCACUUCAAAUUUAAAUCAUCUCAAGUUCAAGUAAAGUUUGAGUUUGAAUUAAAUUGAAUUCACGUUGGGAGAGUUCGAAUUGUUGACUUCUAAUGAUGAAAUCAAAUUGAAUCCGAUAUAAGUUCGAGUUAAUCAAGUCAGAUUUCCCAGUUCAAACUAGAAGUAACAAGUCUAAAUAUAAUUAUAUCGUGCUCAAAAUCAUUGAAUUAAAUCAUUUCUAAUUUAGUUCAUUUCAAAUUAUUUAUCAAAUCAUUUCGAGUUUGACUUGGAUUAAUUGUCCAUGUUAACAUUUUAUUGACUUAAAUGGCCACAUGUAAUUUCUUUUAAUGGAAAUGGCACAUGGGAUAACUUGAUGAACGGAAUGAAUGGAGAAAAACAAAAUGGCUGAAAAAAUAGUAAAAGGACCAAAUUAAAAAUUUCACUAUAUAAAAGGGAUCAAAACAAGUAUUAAACCAUUAAAAAAUUGUAUAACUCCUACGCAUGAAAAAUGUCAAUGUCCCCAUGGAUAAUUAGGGUCACUGCUUACAUAUUUCCCAUCAAAGGGAUUGUAAACUUGAAUCCUCCAUUCGUCUUUUUCAUCACUUCCAUGGCUACUGAAAUUAACCACAGAAGCUUCCAAUAUAUCUUCCCAGCUAUCAUCAUCAUCAUCAUUUAGCAUAAUCAACGGCUGUCGUUCUUCUUCACCUUCAUCACCCACCUUUUCAGCCGUCGAUGAUAACGAUGAUGAUGAUGGUGACUGAUGAUCACCAUUAUCAUCCUUUAUUUCCCACAUACCAUUAAUGAAGCUUUCAAGAGCUUGAAUUUGCAACAAUGGGAUUCGAUCCACAAAUGGAUAUUCAUAACACCCACAUACACCCAUAAGUUUACACCAUUGAUAAAACUCAUAUAACCGGUCCGCUUGUAAAGCUGCUUUUCUAUAUACAUCAAACGCCGAUAUACAACACCGGUAUGUCGGCAUUUGGAACAUGUUUUCCAGCAAGAAAACGAUGUCGUUUUUGAACACGGUGUAACAUACGAAGCUGUCACGGGUUAUAUGCUUCAUCGCCGUUUGAAUCAAGAAGUUUCGUGCCGUGACUCCGGUCGGUUUACAUUCGAUGACACGGUCGAUCAAACUUUGAAUCUGUUCUAACACUUCGAGAACUCUUCCGAUUUCUUCCAGCGAAUUAUUGGGCGGUCCAGGGCGGCGGCGAUGAUUGUCUUCGUUGGAGAUUUCGUCGACUAAACGAGCGUAGGACCUGAUAAACGCGGUGAAACUCUCGGGGUCCGAUGACGAAACGUCACGGAAAUUGCAAGGGUAUAAAGAGAUUGAACCAUUGGACCGAUUGAUUAAUAGUUCGGUUCGAAAAAGGCUGUCUUCGGGCGACGACCGAAGUAGUCGGUGAAGUAGGAGUAAGCAUUUUAAUGCGACUCGCCAGCUUCGGGUUUUACCCAAGCGGCGAGCGAAACCAAGAGAGAAAGCUCGGCAACACGGUGGAGAAAUGGCGAAUAGCCGGAGCAAUUGGUGGACGUAUUUGUCGGAUAACGGAGAACCGUUCGGAGCCGUUGCUUUUACAAUGAUGUGAUCAACGUUGCAAAGGCCCCCCAUGGUGGCGAUUUUGGCGUAGCUAAGGCAUGUAUGCUCUUUUAAAGCAUUGAAAGCUUGUUGAAAUGAUUUAGUCAUGGUUUUUAGGGAAACCCUAAAGAAAGGUUUUCUUUUUUGGUGUUUUGGGGUCUAAAUGCAUGGAAUUUAUGGCAUGGGAAUUGGUUAUUUAUGGUCGUUUAUUAUAUGUUAAAAAAAGGUUAAAAUAUGUUGUUAGUCCCUAUAUUUUGAAAAAGUUUGAGAUUUGAUCCUUACAUUUAAAAGGUUAGAAGUUAAGUCUUUGUACACUUUAAAUUUAAAAAUCCCAUUCCAAACAUUAAAAUCGUAAGUAUUUUUCUUCAAAAUAUAUCAAAUUGACAUGUUGUUUAGACUGCUAUCAUUUGAAAUUACUGUUUUAAAAACCAAACGAAUGUUCGAAUGUGUUAGACUAUCGAUUCAACCAUUGAUCUAACAAUAAUUAAAUAAACAAUUAAAAAUUUGAUAAAAUUUAUUAAAAUUUGUAUAUACAUAUUCAACCACCUAUUUAUUGUCCAUUUUUUUUCUAUCAAUUUUAAAUGAUUUGCUCAAAGGCUAGCUUAAUACUUUUGUCCAGAUCGAUAUAACGGCUUGUUCGUGGUCCAACUGAUCCAAUUCCAACAUUGUGUGACAUGCCAUAUGGUUGAUGUAAAAUAAACUUAUUAAGUUAACAAUUUUCAACAGAAACUACCAAUCACGAUAAUAAUAAAAUUUCUAAAUCGAAAAAGUAAAAAGAAUAAAUUUUAAAAUAUACGGAUUAAAUCUCAAAUUGUAUAGAAGUACGGGAUUAACAACAUAUUUUAACCCUGGGAAAAAAAUAAUAAUAGGUUUCAAGAUUUACUAUGCCAUUGGAUUGAUCGAAACUAAGCUACAAUUACGAGAAAAAAAGUGUUUUGGUUUUAGUGAACUAAAUAAAAAUAUGAAAAAUUAACGUAGUUGUCAACAGAUAGGGCAAAAUAAAAUAUCUUUAUUUAAUGACUUUGUUGAUGCCUUUUGGUGAUUAGGGAGAAUUUUUUUAUUUAAUUAAUUUAGAUUUAAAUUAAUUUAAUCAUAAAAAAAUUAAUAUUACAAACAUAAAAUGAUUACACCAUGUAAUUAAAAAUGAUCCGAAAUUAAAUUAAAUAAAAUUUUAAAUAAUCUAUAAAAAUCCGAUCCAAAUUUAACUUAAAAUUGUUUGGAAUGAAUCGAAAGAAUGACAACUUAGAACUUGGUUUGUACGUGGUCGACAAAUAAAAUUAUUAUUAUUACUAUUACUAUUAUUAUUAUGUUAAUUAAAUUACGACACUAAAUUAAUAAAUUAAAAUAUUAGGGAUGAGCUUUUCAACGGGAGAAUCAAUUCGAAGUACUAAAUGUUAAGAAGAUAAGAAGAGUACUUCAUUUGGCAUAUAUGAGAAACAGGGAUGAAGUUAUAAAAUUUUUUGGGUUGAAAUUAAAUUAUAUAUGUUUAUGAUAAUAAAAUUAUAAUUUCGUCAUUUUAAUAGCUUAUAUCUUUAUAAUUUUUAGAGGAUUAAAUUAAAUUUUUAUUAUUUUUGAGGCCGUUAAACUGUAAUUUUAUUAUUAAUAAUUUAAAAUUUUUAUAAAUUAUAAAAUAAUUUUUUUUUCUAUUUUAGGAGGUUGGGCACCUGCCAAUACCCUUAGAUUUGCCCUGAUGGCAAACAUAUAAGAAAAUCCAAUGUAUAGCAAGAAAUUAAGAACUAUACAUGUAAGUUUUUUAAGGUUAUAAUCAUAAUUGUUUAUAAUAAGUACAAAAACAAAUAAAUAAUUUAAUAAAUUAAUUUACGAGACUAAAUCUAAAUCAAACUCAUAUGAUGAGAUUUGAAAAUAUUAAAUUUCACUUUUACACACAUAACUAUAUUAGAAAUAGUGUGUAGUUAAAAGGUAAGCAAGACCUUGGCCUCCUAUUUAUUAGAUGUUUCUCGAUUCGAUCUUACAUAUAGGUAUUGAAUAGUGGCAGAGAUAGAAAAAAAAUUUUGAGGCCAAAAUUAAAUUGUAUAUUUUUACGAUAGUAAAAAUGUAAUUUCAUCAUUCUAAUAGUCUAUACUUUUAUAAUAUUUAAAAAGUUAAAUCAAUUUUUUAUCAUUUUUUAGGGGUCAAAAUAUAAAUUUACCAUUACUAAUUUAAAAUUUUAUAAAUUAUAAAAUAUCUAAAUGUAAAAUUUACUAUUUUAAGGGAGGCUAACCUCCUGCCAAUCCCUUAGCUUCGCCCUAAUACCGAAGUUUAGGAAUGGCAAUAAAAAGACACUUCCAAUAUGACUAAGAAAAUCCAUGUAAAAUGUAAUUAAGCCACAUUUUAACUUCCUGGUACCUAUUCUAGCGUCGCCUUUGAAUUUAUUAGUUACAUAUCUCUGAAUUCUUGUUAAGGGUUAGAUCUUUUAUAAAAUGUUGAUUAGAUUAAUUGGCCAAUAUUUUGAUUAUUGGUCAAAUUAUGAUUAUGUUGAAGAUUUAAUCAAUAUUACUUUUAGGAGUCAUAAUUAAAUAUAUCAAUAGUUUUUAUUAAAUUUAAUCAUUAUAGGUAUUGAAUUUAAUAAUUGAGUUUAACUUUGACUUAUUAUUUAUUUAGUUCAUAUAUUUAAAUAUAAACAUUCAAGAUUUUGAGGUUGUUUUUUUUUUCUUACAUAAUUUAUAAAAUUACCUAUAGGCCCUCGCAAACUAAUAAAUAAGAGGAUAGUACGCUUCAGUACAUUCGAAUUCACGUCCUUCUAUAUUGAAUUUUAUGUCGAAAUUGGUUAUUAUAAAUUUAGAAUAUUAAAAUUAAGUCAAACAAAGUAUAUGAAAGUGAAAUCAAAAUUAUGACUUUUAAUAUUAAUAAUAAUUUUAAUUAAUAAUAUCAUGCUAACACUAACAUUUUUGUAAUGAUAUUAAGAGUAAUUUAUUAACUAAAUAAGAAUUUAAUCAUAAUUUUUCUUGAAUAUUAUUUUGUUAGAAAUAUACUGUUAAAAGAGUUUUUUUACAAACAUACACAUCUCACAAUUCACGUGUUGAGGCCAAUAGUAAUGCAUCAAGACACACAGACAUGCACGACUUUUGAAAUGCCUUAUUUACAUGCAAGAACACGAACUCCAUCCACUAGGUUUUUCAUCAGAUUUGGACUCUUCAACUUUUUUAGGUUUAAUUUCUGAGGAAUCUCUUAAAGAUUUUUCCCUAAUUUUCUCCAUGUCAGGUUUUCCAUCAAAAUUCAACUCCCUAGUUUUAACUUCUGGGGAAAGAAUUUCUAAGGUUUUAGAAACUUUUAAAGAACCUUCUUCUCGUGAAGAUUUUUCCCUGUUCUUCUGCCUAUGAGGUUUCCCAUAAGAAAUCAAUUCUCCGCUCUCGGUUUUAACUUCUAGGGAAUCAAAAUCUUGCGCAGACUUUUCCCUAAUUUUCUCCACACGAGGUUUCUCAUCAGAAAUCAACUCCUCAUUCUUGAUUUUAAUUUCCAGGGAUUCAGAAUCUUGCGAAGACUUUUCCCUAAUUUUCUCCCUCUUUAUUUGAAGAAGCUUAUUAUAUAUACACCAAGGAAAGCUAAUGAAAGGUUCUUGAUCAGCCUCAUUGUUAUUUGAACCCCAAAAACUUGGAUGGUAUGUCACAUGGUACCAAGCUGAAGCUUUUGCAAACACAUCCUCUACACUAGGACUCGCUUUCUCAUUGAACCAACUCUUGGCUUCUCUUCUCAACGAUCUCACAGCUAAAUUUACGGCUUCUAAAUCGACUUUCCGAUCGAAAGAUUUAGCUAAUUUCAAGAUACAACCGCCGAUGAUCUCGGCCUCGGUUUUGACCCCGUAGGUACGCAUUAGGUUAGCUAAUUUAUAAUCAUAUUGUUUCUUGUUAUGAACUGCAUCAUUGACAUAAGCUAGAAAGCCUUCGAAUUCCAUAUCGGGGUCAUACAAACGUGUCGCUAUUGACUUGGUGAAGUGUUUACUGGUACUAACCUCGGCUUCAAUGCUUUUCACCUCGCGGUAGAGAUGGCCGAUCACGGACUGUGAUUCGUAGGUGAACUUGUCAGGCUUUUCCAUGAAAUCCGGGUAUUCUUUGGCGCGUAAACGAUGGGGUAUUUUGGCUGGAAUGCCGGUUUUGGGGAAGUCGACCGCGACGGACGAUAGCUUGGCAAGCUCGAUGCAUUGUUCGCUAAGUGCCUUUGUGGGCUCCUUGUCGGCGAACACCGUGUGGGCAUUAGAAAUGAUGCCCAAGCUAUCAUUGAGAAUAUAAUUUGUGAAAUACUCCGCCACCUCCUGCACAUUUAAGUGUGUAUAUAUAAUUGAGUAUACUCAUAUCAAAUAAGCACUUGUAUCUAACACACUUCAUACCUGAGAAAUAAAGUUAUAUAUAGUAAAAAUAAUAAGUAAAUUAGUUCCUAUACAUUAGAUCAAUGAAAAAAUUGGUCUUAUGAUCCAUGUAUGUCAGUAUGAAAUACACAUGACAUCUAACAUAUAGGGAUUAAUUUGUUAUAAAGGCUUUCAUGGUAAUUUUACUGUUAUAAGACAUGCUUGCUGCUUUUUUUAGUAUAUGAUUUGAGCAAAUACCUCUAUGGUAACAUCAUGGUCUAACAGGGUACUUUGUGCAGCACCAUAAUCCAUGGGAGGAUAUCUGCAGGGGGGAAUGAGAUCUUCAUCCCAAGAAACGAAAUAUAGAUCGCCAUCCAGAUCGCUUCCUGAACAUUCGUUCGGAUGGGGUCUGUAUGAUCACGUAAACAAAUUAUUUAGUUUGAAAUAUUAAAUACAUAUUCGGGUAUGAUUCUCAAGCAACAUAGUAAAUAAGUACAAAAGUGCAUUUGAGUAUUGGAUAGUCAUACCUAUGGCCUUUCUGUGGGAAAACAACGCAAUCCACCAUGUGACGCAGAACGACGGCAUCCACGGCCUCCAGAACUCGUAGGUCACCGGGGUGCAAACACGGAUUUUUGGCAAUGACGACCUUCCCUUCAACAACAUGGCAGUUUUGGUAUGACCUUCCGUCGCCGCUCGAAGAUUGGCUUGGUUUAGUUGAGUAUUGGACAAACACUUGACCGUAUUCAAGUGUCCCUGUUUCAUCUAAGCACCCCAUCAGAAUUCCUCCUUUGUCAAUCGAAAUCCUUGUUCUAGUCCUUAGAUCUAGCAGCUUCGACGCACGGAUCGUUCGUAGCAUCAUUGAAAGGAAUGGUUCCGAGUCCGGUUUGUAGCCGCACAAAAGCAUUUCUCUUAAAACCCUUACAAUUUCACCAUGGUGUAUGCUUUCCAUUGCCUCCUUUGCCUUUUCUGGAUCCAUCAACAUUGCAUCCAGUCGAGCCAAAAACACUUUCUGCUUCGCCUCGAAAACACUAUCCUUGACCCCAAGUGUCGACAUAAGUAUGAUUAUUUGUCUAUUAAGGUAACAAGUGUGGUACUUGCUCCAAGACAAAACAUCAAGACUCGUAGAGUCCGCUUCGAACUUCUGCAUACUUUUCCUUAACGAUAACUUCACCGAUGAUGAGGGAUCAACAGCUACAACUCCUUUGUAACCACCAUAUCGAAUUUGAAACGCAGAUGGAGUAUGUUUCAAGCCACAUUUCCAUGCUACUUGCUUAGCAAGUUUAGCCGAUAUUUUCCCGAUACCAUCGGAGAAGUUAUACUUAUUCCCACCGGUUUCAACUUCAAUGUCGGGAAUUAUCUCGAUUUCAUCCUGACGAACUUCUAAAGUUUCCCUCGAUGAGCUUAAAGAUUGGCCUAACCUAGCUGCAUAUUUCGCCACAUUCCUAAUAACAUGAAUAUGACCCAUUUGUCCUCUUAUAUCAUCAGCAGUAAGCCCAGGCUUGGAUGCGAACAUCCAGAUUGAAUUCUCUCGUAACUGACUAGUUGAACAAGCAAGAAACUCAAAUUUCUUAUCGCCAAUAAGUAUCCCGUUUCUCAAAGUUGUUAAUAUCCUCUGAAAUAUCCUAGUAGGCUUCCCAUCGGUACUAGAUGUACUCGACGACAAAUCCGUUGAAUGUAUCUUCCCAAGCUCCUCGUCAACGAAAGAAACUCGUAAAAAGUUAUCAAUAUCUUUAAUAUACUUACGAAGGACCCUGUUUGAAAGAUUAACAUCUGGACCGCUGAAAUACACUUUAGACGGCGUCAGUUGAAUCCUCCUUACCGCUACUAACCCUUCAUCGAGUUUGGGUGGUCGAGGACGCUUUUCGGGCUUAUGAUACUCCUUGUACUGAUCAUUCAGCCACUUGACUGGAUCAUAACAACAAUCUUUGAAACCAAACAUUUUCUCCAAUGCAUGUUCUAUGAAUAAAGUUUCUAUCCUGCAGGGAUCAACAAGCUCAAAGAACCUGGAAUCAAGUGCCGUGGGAGGCAAGUAACCGUGCUGGAGCAAAGCAUUCACUUUGAACAAGAUGUUGUAAGGCAAAUCAAAGCCUGGUGGUGGGGUUAUUAUGGGGACAAGAUCGGUGUUGGAUGAAAAUGGGGAGCCGGGUUCGAUGACGAAAUUGUCUUCGAUUUUCUUGUAAUAAAAACUGGUGUCGAACCUUGGGAGCUGAACUGAUCGAGGAAGCUCUAUGCACAUGCCGAAUGAUUGACCAAUACAAUGGCCUGGUGUAAAAUCUACUUCUCUGACCCAUUGCUCCUCGUCUGUGAGUUCCUUGGAAGAGCUGAGAGCAAUUGAUGGAUCUUUUUCAUAGAUCCUAGGGGCUCCAAGUAACUAGAAUAUAAAAUAGAUGGCGAAAAAAGUCAAUAAUCCCCAUGAUAUUGUGGCAUAAAUAAAAUACUAAAUACUCUUUUUAAUUGGACUUCAAUUAUUAAAUUAAAUGAGUAGAGAGGUUGGUUUAUAUUAAAAAUAGAAAGAUUCAAUUCUUAAAAUUAAAAAUAAAAAAAACUAAAUUUUAAAUAUAUAAAGAGUACAAGGAUUGAGAGUGGAAUUAGGCCUUUUAUAUAAUAUCUUUAAAUCCAACAUCUUCAACUUUAUUUUAUUUUUUCUAAUAUUUAUCCAACAGCACAAAAAUCUCAUAACUUACUCAUAAUACCGAUGUCUAUUCUCCAAACUAAAAACAGCUUAAAUCCAGUUAUAUACGAUAAUGGGGUAAAAUUGCAGUACUAGUCCCAUAGUUGCCUCUCUAUAUUUUUAAAAUGAGCAAAAUCAUGUCCUUGUACAUUAAAAGAAAUAGUAAAAUUAUCGUUUUCAUAAUAGUUGAAUAAAAAAUAUUAAUUUAAUGAGAUUCUUUUAAUUAAAUGAUGUGACUUUAAAAUAUGAUAUUACAUAUUCACUCAACCCAUUCUAACUUAAAAAACUUAAACUAUUUGCAUUUUAACUAUUGCAUUUAAUAAGGGAAUGACAUGAAAUCAGGUUAAAUGCAACUGUUUUAAACUAGAAUAGAUCCCGUAAAUAUAUUAUAUCGCUUAAAAAUGCCACUCCAUAUUUUACAUUAAUAUCACAUAUCUCAAACAUUAACAAAAAUAAUCAUUUUACUCCUAUCAAGUAUAAAAUUUUUUUUAGCAUAAUGAUUUAUUUGACCCUUUAAUUUUAUAAAAAAAUUUAUUUUAGUUUUUCAUUUAAUCUUUCAUCUUUUUUAACUUUUAAACUUGCAUUGAAUUAUUAACUUUGCUGACAUGACAUUCACAUGGCAACAUUAACAAUUCAUUAAUUGCAAAUGUAACAUCCACAUAGUUUGUCAAACUUGUCCAUUCAUUUACAAAAAUAAUUUUAAAAGCUAAAAAAAGUAAAAAUUAAAUGAAAAGUUAAAUAAUUUUUUUUGUAAAAUUGAAAUGCUAAAUAAAUUAUUAUCUCAGCAAUCUAUAUUUAUUUGUAUCGGAAAUAUGAAAUCGAUCCAAAUUAAAAGUAAUGGACUUCAAACAUACCUGAAUGAGCAAACAUUUCUUGGUGUGGUCAGGCACAUAAUGUACCACCAUCUGCCAAACAUUGUCAUUGUAAAGCUCGAGCUUGUAGUCGACACCGUUGUAAGACAAAAAGAAGUAUAACUUGUCCAAUUUUUGACCAUACUUGAACGAAACAUGAGAUUGGUUCCAAAGCACAAUGAAUUUGUCUUUUGAAGCUGAACUACCAAAAUGUAACAUCAAGUCAUCAAUGCUUUGGAGAUCAAACCUGGGCUUUUGUGGGAUGAUGUUGUGUUUCAAUGACCAGGCUUUCAAAUAAGACUCGUUGUGCCAAAGUGCUUGACUUGAGGUCCACGACAAGAUCCUUUCCACAUCUUCCAUGUUUUUGAAUUGUACCUAGUCAAAGAUAGAAAUUUUAUUCGAAGGAUGGAGAUAAAAUGGUAAAAUUUUAAAAAAAAUCGGUGUUAAAAAAAACUUAGUUAAAAUAACUUAAAUUUAAUAUUUUAAUUUAGGAGCAGGCUUAAAAGAAAUUUUCUCCAUCCAGCCAAGGGGGCGAACCCGCUGCCUACUUCCUUGUGUACCUUGGCGAAAGAUCUCGAGCCUUCUUUGUGACUAACUUUUACAGUCUCCACGGUUCCUUCACCAGUGUAGUUCUCGAGGAGUUGCCUCACUUCGUCGAUUGUUACGGCUGAAGCAAACCCGUAGAGCUUAAUUGUCUUGCUCAUUUCCUCGAACUGCAACUUCACUAACACCCAAAAGAAUAAAAAUAGAAAUUAUUGCUAACAAACAAGUUAUUAGAGAAAAAGGAGUAAUUUUUUUUGUAACAAAUUGAAAAAAAUAAUUUUAUGAGACGAAUUUAAUUUAAAAUAUGAUGUAAAUUUUUAAAAUAUCUAAUUUGUUCAUAAAACUUGAAUGCAGGAUUCGAAUUCUUUAAAUUACAAUAAAUUAUGUAAAUAUAUCACAUCAUAUUUUAAUUUAAUAUCACAUAAAUUUAUCACACAAAAUUAACAUUUGUUUAUAUUUCUAAUGCACAAAUCCCUACCAUAAUAUAAUGAACACACUUUUACCUAUCCCAACAUAAAUAUGAGAACAUGAUGUUCUCAAUAUGUAAAAUUAAUAUAUAUAUAUCAAUAUUACAAUAUCAAAAAUAUAUCUAUACUCAAUAUUCAACCCUAAAUUCAAAUAACAUAAAAUAAAACUAUUAUAAUUGCAUUCAAAUAUUGGACUUCAUGGAUGGUUUACGCUUUCAUUUAGCUUUAAUUUAAUUAAUCAAAACUAAAUCAAGUUUAUAGCUGCUUUGUAUUUUCUAUAAUGUUACUAUGUUAUUUGAAUUUAUUCUGUUUAAAAUGUAUUUUUGUUUCACGUAAUCACGUCUAUGCUAACACACACUUAUGAAAACAUAAUCUUGUAAAUGUAUAUGAAGUUUUUAGAAAAAAAUGAUACAUAUUUCGGGCCAUAUUAUUAGUCAUCCUUUAGAAAAGAAAAUCAAAUUAUUUUAAAUUUGGGGAAAUUUAAAAUUUCUCCAUAUAGCUUUCGGCUAUGACUUAACAAAUUUGAUGAUCUAAUUCAAAUGGCGCAAUAAAAACAUAAAAGCAAUAUCAAAUUCAAAGAAAAUUUAUUAGAACAUUCUUGUACUGUGUUCUUGACUCACUUCUUUUAUUAAUUUAAUCUCUACAAUAUUUUAAUUAUUAAUAAUCCUUCAAUUUCUUGAAAUACGUAUUUUCAACACUAAAAUCAACUUUUUUUCAUUAAUUCACAAACUAAUUUGACAUAAUUUUCUUUUAAAAAAACACAUGAUCUCAAAACGAUAUAUCGCAUGAUCGAUUAGAAGAGCAAAUUAUAACCAAAAAGAAUCAAAUCUUCAAAAAAAUAGUGCACAUACCUUCAAUAAAAUUUGGCCCAAAAAUUUGCAAAAAAAAAAAGAAAAAAAGAAAAAUCGAGUCAGCCGUGAAUUAAUUCAAAAGUAAAGAAACAAAAGAUGACGAAGAAUUAAUCAUGGCAAAAAGCAAAUAGAAAAAUAAAAAAGGAUCAGAGAAACUCACUAGACUUGGAAAGAGAGGUAUGGGACCGAAGAAAAAUAAUUACGAAAAGAAUCUAAAGAUUCAAAACACAAACAAAAAGAAGAAAACAAAAAUAUUAGAACAAAAAUUUAAAGUAAAACAGAGAGAUUAAAACGAAGAAGGAAAAAGAGAUUUUUAAAAAAAAUCGAAGAACAGAGAGAGACUUUACUUGAAUUUGAAAAUGGGAAUUCACAACAACUAAGAAAAUUUGAGAGAUUUUUGGAGGACAAAAGAAAAUCAGAGGAAAAAUAAGAAAACUAAAAGAGAGGGAGACAAUGUGAAAUUGUGGCGCCAAGAAACUGAUAUUUAAAUGAGAAAAAGGAAAAUAAAAGUGAAGGUUUUUGGAGAUUCUAUGCUUUGGAUUGAACGGUUAAUUUUAGAAUUGUCCUGAUAACGUAAGGGAGAUGACGUCAGGCUCUCCCUUCCCCAUUGGGUUUGAUCAUAUACCGUUUAACUUUGUUGAGAUCGAAACGUUUCUAAAUUCAAUUGGUUAAAAAAUAGGGUUAAUUCACCAUACAUCCCCAAAUUAUAACAUUUGUUCUAAAGUGGUCUAAAACUUUAGAAAAUCCUAAUUAUAUUCCUAAACUAUCGAGGUUUUAUUAAUAAGGUCAUUCCAUUACUAAAAUCAUUAAUUUAACCGUUAAAUGAUAUGUCAAGUCUUAUAUGGCAUAGUUUAAAACGAAAAGUUUAAAGAAAAAUGAGUGUUGUAAAAAUUUUGUUUUUGAAAUUUUCGAAACUUUUACAAAAGCCUUGGCGCUCACUCUCUUUUUUUUUCGAUUUUAUUUUAUUUUUAGUGUUUACUUUUAAAAGUUACGUGGUAACGUUUUACUUUUCCUUAAAAUUUUCAUGUAGAAUGACAGUCAUAAUUUGGAGAUGUUUAAUGCAAUUAACUCUAUUUUUUUAUAUUAAUAAGUUGGUCUAAUUAUGUGGCUUUCAUAGUAUUCUUUGAACUUUUGAGAUUUAUGCUCUUUACUUUUAGUUUCAGACAUUUAGGGUCUGUUUGAUUGAAGGAAUUGAUUUUCCGGAAAAUCAUUUCCAAUUUUUCCAGCGUUUGAUUGGCGGAAAACAUUUUCCAUUUGGAAAAUGAACUCCAAAACAAGGGAAAAUGGGUUACAUUUUAGGGAAAAUGUCUUACCCUUUCAAUUUCCCUAAGACAUUUUCCGUUCUCUCAUCUCUAUCGCCUCCUUCAUUCAUUCCUUCGUUUCCGGUAGAAAAUUGCUUCUAUUUAUCGAUUUUCCAGUAACUUGUUUUUUUAAUUAUUCAAUACUUGUUUUUUUUACACAAUUACAAAUAAUUUAUUUGAUAUUUAUUUUUUUCAAUUUAUAACGAUUAAUAUGUGGCUUAAUAAUUGAGUAUUAUUAUAAAUAAAUCAUUGCAAUAUAUGUAAAAAUAAUAUAAAAUAUAAAAAUUUAUUAAUAUAUAUCAAUAUAUGUAAAAACAAUUUUUUCAAAAAUAUUUUCAGGAAAUCUGCCAAACAGCCGAAAACAUUUUACACAGAUCCAAUCAAACACCAGAAAAUAUUUUCCAGUAAAUUAUUUUACAGAAAAGUAAAACAUUUUCCCGAAAUCAUUUUAUGGAAAAUAUUUUACUGGCAAUCAAACAGACACUUAGUCUUUAUGUUUAUCAGAUUUGAAAAUUCAAAUUCAUUUUUUUAAAACUUAUUGAGGGGUCAGUUCUUUUAUUGAGAGAAAUUUUUGAAUUGUUACACUAUGAGCAGUGAAUCAUACCCUCAAAUAAUGGAGGCAUUAAUGUUCUUAGAUGUCUAUGCUUAAUUUUAAGCCUGAAUUUUUGUUUCCCUACUUCAAGAAAAGCCCAAAGAGGUUCACGGAAUUUUGACAGGAGCACAUAGGUCCAACAAAAGAAUAUUGUGUUAGAUUUUGAUUAUUUUUAAUAUUAUAACAAUGUGUUUAAUUUAUUUUGUAUGUAUAUAUAUACACUAGUUUGCUUAGCUAACUAGAAUUUCAUAAUAAAAUAAUUUAAUUUUAGAUAAAAUAAAUUAGAGGACGCCUUUCAAAUGGAUUUAUCUAAUUAAAAGUUAUUAUGCGGUAAAAUUAUAUUUUAAUUUCUUAAUCAUGAAAAAGAAAUUCUAUUUAGUCCUUUUAAAAUUGAUAAAAUUAUACGUUAAUACAAAAUAAAACUACACUUUAACCUCACAAAAAAGUUUUAAUUCAAUUUUAGCUCCCCUAAAUAAAAUUGGAUUCGCCCUUGGUUGAAAUGAUAAUAUUGAAAAUUUGAAAUUUUAUUGUUUAAGUUCGAGUCUUAUUUUAGCUUAAAUUUUUCCGCUAAAUUAUUUCGGUCUCGAUUAUUUUUAAUUGUCAAACAGUAUGAUUACAUUUAUACCAUUUUAAAUUUAAAGAAAAAUAAUUUAAAAGUAUAUAACUUUUUUCUUUAAUUUAAAAAAGAAACUUGGUAAUUUAAGUUUGGUGAUUCUUUACCUUUAUCAAGGUUCAAAGUUAUGCUUUAUUUUACCAAUGAGGAAAAAGAACUUUGCUUUGGAGAUUUCAAAGUAUGGAAAGGCUAUAACUUAGCUAUUGCUUCAUUUAUUUGAUUACUCAAAUUUGGUGCUAACUUUAUAAUAGACAAAUGGAAUCCAGAAUAUAUAUUUUUUAGUUGAGAAAACAAGCGAUUAACUGCUUAUAAAUGUUAGGCUCUUAAGAUGAAUUUUGAUAUGCGGUACAUUUAUCUGUGGUUAAUGUAAAAACAACGGUGGUGGUGAGAUUAGUUACUGUAACGAUAUUGUAGCAUGAAACAAAAAAUAAAUUAAACACACCGUACCACACCCAAUCACCCAUUCAAAUCCACCCUUAAUCCAGUUACUCUAAUAAUAUCAUCUUUGAUUAAUCUCGUGAGAGGUAGAAGAGGGAUCCCAAUAUUUUCCAUUACGGACCCAUAUCUUAGCGCCCAAGCAAAUAAGCAAUAGGAAAUCAGCACAACAGUUUGCUAUUCUUUUUUAAGAUUUAUCUAACAAAUGCUUAGUUGUAAUUUUAAAUAAAUAAUUAAAAAAUAUAUUAUGGUGAAAAUAUUAUUAACAAAUAUAUUAAUAAAAAGUUGAUAUUAAAAGUAAAUAAGGCUUUAGUUGAAAUGUUAAAAUUAAAAUUUUAAAUUUUAAAAUUAAAAAAAAAACGUUCAUAUUAAUGUGUGUUAUUUUAUAAAAGGAAGAAUUUUAGAAAUUGUUCAACUGAGUUGAGACUUAGUUAUUGAUUAGCGAGGGAGACUAAUUUAGUCAACCAUUUAAAUAUAGUGCAGAUAAUUGUAAUACUAUUUAAAUGUAGUAAUUGAAAUUUAAAAGUGUUUUUUUUUAAAUAAUAAGAAAUUAUAUUAUUAUAAAACCCUUAAUUGAGUUUAGCAUAGAGAUGUUAAUAGGUUGAGUACGACGAAGUGAGUCUAUACAUAAUAUUAAUAUAUUUCAUACUUGCUCUAGCUUAAUUGAUAAAAAAAUGUGAUUCUCAAAUUUUAUUUAAGCACACACAUUUACAAUUGGUGAAUGAAAAUUUGUUUUAGGUCCAUUAUAGUAAUUUUUACAGAAAAUUCUAUUUUUAGAUUAACAUGUUCUAAUUCAAUAUAAUGGCUAAAAUGCUAAAUAAGUUUUCCAAAAAUAAUUACAAAAUUAAUUAUGCCCCUCGUAAAAAAUGCAUUCAAAUGAGUUUCUUAAAUCUGUGAUUUGUACUAAAUUGAACAUAUUAAUUACUUUAUUUUUUUGCCCAAAUUUUUGAUGAGAUGUUAAAUGUUGAUGUGACAGUUAAAGUUAACAUAAAAAAAAUGACGCUAAUUUUUUUUUAUUGAUUUUUAAAUUAUUUGAUAAUGAUUUAAUUAAUUUUUAAUUAUUUUACAAAGUUUUUUUAGCUUAUAUAUACAUUUUAAAAAAGUAUCAAAAUAAAUAUGAAGUUCUCGAUAAAAGAGAAAGAACCUCAAGUACCAAAUUAAACAUUGAAGCGAAAUACAGGUGCUAAAUAAUAUAUUAACCCGGAAAGCAACACUUAAAAAGGCAACAAAAAUACAUUUAAAAGAGAAUAGUGGUGGCAGCACUAGUGUAAAUUUAAAAGAUGAAAAGCAUAACCCACUGAAGGCUUAGUCGGAAAGUUGCUCACAAAGAGAGGUAACUUCCCUUUUCCUUUUUAUUCUUCUGUUUCAUUAUUCAAUUCAUUUUGAUUUGUUUUUUAAUUUGUAGUGUUCGAUUUUGUGUUUGAAUUUUCGAGAUUGACAAUUCGAUGUGGAAUUAUCUUUUCUUUGAUUUACUUGUAUGCAAUUGUAGGUUUUGAUAAACUGAAAUUAACCAAAAAAACAGGACGCAGUGUAGUUUCACAUAGGAUUUUGGGAUUUAGGGUUUUUAUUAAAGUGGUUUUUGAGUGAAAUUGUUGAAAAAAAGAGGAAAAAAUGACAACGGAAUCGCUCACAGGUUUCACUUUGGGAAUAGUUUAGGUUCUAUUAUGAAUAAGUUCCAAUCAGAUGCUAUGAACACCAGUUCCAAGAUGAUUCCGAUCGGUGGUUACUUUGUACCGCCACUGCACAUGAUAUUGCCGGAGAAUUCCAGUACCACUUCCCCUGCUUUGAUCCAACCCGGAAACCCUUCCGGCUCUUCCCUCGAUUCUGUUGCAGGGUUCCAGCAUGAUAUGGGGUUUGCUACUGAAUGGUCUACUGAGGAACAAUAUAUAUUGAAGGAUGGCCUUGAAAAGUAUGUUGUAAUUCUGCUUUUCAUUCAAAGUCUUUUGGUGAUGUAUAUGCAUGUUUAUAAUUUGAAAUAAUAAUAUGAGUAAUGUGUUGAAUUGGUCAUAGACUCAUAGUUAAAGUAAUAGAUUACCUAAUUAUGUUACGAGGAUUGUUGUGUGCUUUUGUGUAUGAUUUUUAUGAUAAAACUGGUUUUAUGGGGGUACUUAUUAGCUAUGUUACUCGGAUUCGGGUAUGGUUGUUGUAUAUUGGUAUUUUUCUGACAGGGGUAUAUUGACACUUUCAAAGUUUUCUAUGUAUUUGAAGGGUCACAUUUUUAUACUUAUGUCCAAAUAGGUGUUGGACAUGGGUGUUGGAUAGGGUUACUUCAAUAAAAAUGAAGAGUUGUAGCAAACAUAGCUUAGUAGGAAAAUAAAAAAAAAAUGGUACUAAUUGUUUAUUUUCAUUUCAUUCUACAUGUACAUAGAUAUAAAGAGGAACCAAAUAUUAUGAAGUACAUAAAGAUUGCGGCUGUCUUGCCUGAUAAAACCGUACGUGAUGUUGCAUUGAGGUGCCGGUGGUUGCAAGUAAGCUCCAUGCUUUUUUAAUAAUGAAUUUCUACCAUCAUUGCUACUGAUUUCUAUUGCCAAGAAAGAUGAGUUACCGUUGACAUUAAGAUAUAAAGGUAGUUUUUGGAAAUUGGCAGAGAAAGCGAAGGAAACCUGAAGAACUUAAUGCUGGAAAAAAGGUGAACAAUAGGAAGGUAUGCUGAUGAAUCUUUGAAUUAUUAGUGGAUAUGAUUGUCCGUAUUCUAAUAACGAUUACUUCCUUAGUCAUGAGUCAUGACAUGUUAACAUGCUGCUAGAGGUCGAAAUAAUCGAUGUUCAACUCCACAAGGACCUUUGUUAAAAUUUUUCUUAUUGGCUAAAUUAGUGCUUGAAUGGUAAGAUGAAUUUAAGAGUAAACUGUUUAAAUUUGGACAAUGGAGCAUAAAAUUUAAGGCUUGAAUAUAAAAUAGACAACAGUAACUCGCUUUAAUAGCUGAGCUCAUUUUCAGUUCUGCUAUCAUGAGUCUUAUUGAGUUAAGGUAGUUUUGUUCAACCACUCAUUUGUACCAAUCCUAAAAAUAAUUUUGGAACCAUUUUAUUACGCUUCAUAUACAUACAUGGAUGAAUAUCUAUCCCACUUUUCUUGGUUGCUUUCCUUCUUCAAGUCAAAUUACAAACAAAACUGCUAAUUAUGGCCCAUAAGUUAACAUUAAUUAAAUUGCCUGCAUCUCAAUUUACUAAGUUAUAUUCCUGUUUUAAUUUCCUGAAUUGACUAUUAUUUUUAGGAUAUAUCGUGAUUGAGGAACCAGUAUUCUAACUAUCCUACUUCUUCAGGAUAAGCAGGUGGAAUCAUCUUCGAAGAUGAAUACGCCUACAGCUCUGCCGCAAAACAUGGCUGCAUCUCCAUUCAUGAUGCACCAUCUGGACCAGAUCAAAAGAAAGCCUUCUGAAGGUCUGUAAUCUCAAGUCCUUUAGGACAAACUUUUGGGUAAUGUUCAUAAAUAAUGUUUAGCUGCUUGCAUCAGUCAAAACUGAAAAGAAAGCCUGUGAAUACCUGCAAAAUGAUGGUAGCCUAAAUAUGUGUGGCAUUUAAAAAUAAAGUGAAAGAGUUGAUUCAUAAUUGAAAUUCACAUGUAUACAUCUAUUCAUAUGGUUGAGAAUCCAAACUUCUUUUAUAAGCUUGCAACAUUCUCCUUUGACCCAAGGAAAAAAAGAGUCAUUUUGAUUCCUAAGGUAUUGAACUUUUAAUCAUCAUACUCCGAAGCCUUCAAAAAUACAAAUUUGUAGACAGCAAUGCCAACUUGUCAUUCUAAUCCUAUCUUUAUAAUAUUGAAACAUCAAAUAAUUAGAAAAGGAAUUUGAGAAGGUAUCACAAGCCUUGCUGUUGAUGGCGUAUAGGUAUUGCAUCAUUAAAGAAUAUUGUUCUGAAUUGAGGCUUUUGGCAACAUGCCUGCUUGUGUUCGUAGUAGAGGGAUUAGGAUAACUUGAAUUACAUGUACACUGACCUGCUAAAGGUAUUAAUUGAUGUUAAUCUACUUGUUUGUUGUGUAUUUUCAGGAAUAAGUGGUACAACAAUUAUGCAUCUCUUGAAGCAAAAUGCUCAAGUUCUUAGUCAAAUCGCAUCCAAUCUUUCUUUGUGUAAGGUGAUUGUAUGAUUCCUAGUUCAUAGCAAUUCUUUUAAUUGAUGAAUGUUGAUGCCAUUAGAGUCGGAAUUGGAAUAGCUGGUGAAACUAGGGGAAAAAAUUGAUUUAUUAUCACUGUCCAGAACUUUUAGCUUCAUUUACAAACUGAUAUAAAUGGCAUAUAAUAUAACUGUUGGUUCGUCAUUAGGAUUAUAGAACAUAUCAACAGUCAAAUGGUGUUUCAAUAGAGAUUGUCAUGGACUCAAAUCGUUUCUUGUUCUGUUUAAUGUACUAAUAUAAAUCCUACGUCUAUUUCUUUACAUCAUAUAUGAUUCUCGGUGACAGUCUUAUCUGGCAGGCCUAUUAAGCAAAGCUUUUAUGUACAGUUACAGGAUAACAUUGAUCUCUUUUGUCAUGCAAGGAACAACAUUACCGCUGUCCUAAAAGAGUAUGUGCCAAUGUGGAUUUUCUUUAUAAUUAUCAAUUGGUGAUCAAUUCUCUUUACAAGCAUUUCAGCUUUUUGCAGCAUGGCAGAUGUGCCAGGUUUAAUGAGUCGGAUGUUGCCAUUGCCCGUAUCUGUCAAUGAGGAGGAUUUAGAAAAUAGCAUCUUGCCUUAUGCAACUCAGGUAAGUUAUUGUGAGCUUUCGAGAAUCAGAAUUCCUUGAUUCUAGUAUGGCCUAAGACAGAAACAAAACGAAAACUAACCAUAUUUACUGGAAACAGAACAAUAAAGAGAAUAACAACCUGAUCUUAUCCCCAACAAUUAGGAAUUCGACUACUUGUGGAACCCCGGUAUGCUUUUAUCACCUUCGUUUCGACAUACAACCUUUCCUCUAGUCAUUCUUAGUGUGCGGUUAGGUCAUGAAGCUGAGCACUGAAAUGUGUUAUAGGAUCUGGUUGCUCAUGCUACGUUUGGACAAAGAUCAAGAUGGUCGGGGGUUUGAAUUUUAGACCUCAAAUGGUGGAAAACUAGUUGCUCAACAAGGCAGUAAGUGAUCUUGUGUUGGUCAUGAUGGCAUGCUUUGUGCACUUGUGUUACCAUGUUUUGUUUGUUCUUCUUCUGUGUCCAGUCGAUUUUUGGCACAGAAGGCAGAUUCAUUUCAAGGAGUCAAGGAGCUGAUAGGGAAUUCCGGAAUUGCUGAGAUUGAAGUCGGAUUAUAUCAGGUCCGUGUAACUAUUACAACAAAUUUUAUACUGUAAAUGCAUGACAUACUGGUUGGUUGUUCUUCCUCUUUGCGUACACAAACACUCAAUUCACAUAUUAGGUGCUAUAAUGGAAAUUUUGUAUAGAUCCCAUUCUUUUGGAACCUGAAAUCUCACUGUUCACUUGAUAGAUGUUUUAUUUGUAUAACAUAGAUGUAGACGUGUCAAAUCUAGCCCAAAACCGAGAACCAAUGUUUUUUAAACUGGACUGGUGGUCAAACCGGUAAGACCACUAGUUCCCGGUUUGAUCAGUCCGACCGGUUUGUCCAGUCCAAUUGGUUCCUCUGGUUCGAUUGAAUAAAUUGAUACCAAAAUCUAAAAAUAGGAAAAAAAAUUUGGUUCAAUUGGUUUUACUGGCUGGUUUAAACCCUUUAUUCUGGACCAAUAUCUCAGCUGGUUCUCAAUUCAAUCUGUCCGACCAGUUGGCCCGGUUUUAAAAACGGUGCCGAGAAUGCAAUCUGAAUAACUUGAACCUGAUAUAACCUGGUUUGAUCAUAAAAAGUCAAAUCACUUAAAUUCCCAAUUCAAAUCUAAAAAUGCCUUAGAAUCAGAAAUGAUCUUGGACUCUUAACUCAAAAAUGUAACCUAAAUAAUCUAACUUGAAAACCAGAAACUAAAAUUUAUCCGAAUUCAAAAUAUUCUAAACCUGAAAUACCCUAUUCAAAGUAAAUUGACUGUGUCUAUAUAAUCAACUCAAUUCAUCCGAUUUACAGGUCUAUCUAAAUGUCUCUCUUGUUUUUUGUGCAUUUAAUUAAAUGUCCCAAUUCUUUUUUGAGAAAAUGAUUUGAUGGAUGAGAUGUUUAAAAGAUUGAUAUUAAAAAAAUUUGUAAUAAUUUGAAAGUCAAUUAUUUAGAGGUGAAUGUAUUUGAGGGGUCUUUUUAUUUUAGGAAUUUGAUUAAAGUAAAUUUUUUUAUUAAUAAAUAGAUUAAUUUAGUUACGUAAUUAUUAAAAAAAUUCAAAUAAAGUCGACCCAUUAUUGUUUAGCAAAGUUAGUAUUGAAAUGUUUAUGAUUAUGUAAAUGAAAAUUUUUUAUGCUGAGUUAAAUUCUUUUGAAGUUUUGUUGUUCUUUAAAUAGAACUGAAAUUGGAAAAAUAAAUUAUACGAUAAAUGUUAAUUCUAUUAUUAUUUAAUUUUUUUAAUAAUAUAGGCUAAAUUGAUCUAUAAUAUUAAUAUACAGGACCUUUUUGAUACUUGAAUAUUUGGGAAUUAAUAUCAGAAUUUGUAUUGAAUCUACUAAUUUUUUUUAAAAAAUAAAAUAUUAAUAGAAAUAUCAACAUUAUAAAAAAUGGAUUCAUUUCAGCAAAUUAAAGUGGAAUUAAAAAUACAUUAAACCAAACAAUACCUUCUACAACUCUGAAAAAAAAAUGGGGAAAUCUUUACAAUACAAACUCUACAAAUAUAAGUGGAAAAAUUAUGAAAGUUUCAAUGGUGAAAAAAAAAAAAUUUGAAAAACACUUUAAAUUCAGUGCCUGCAAAAAAAAAAAUCUUAUUAUAUCAAACCCUUUUUCUUUUAAAUGCUUAGUUGUUCCUCUCUAGGCAAGCUCUGAACGGUGUCCGACCACCGUCCCGGUGAAUGUUCACUACUAUUCGAUGAAACUUGAGCCUCGGCCCUUACGUCUCUAAUCAUCUUCAAAACUUCCCGCAUCAUGGGACGGUUCUCGGGCACAAGAGCAAUGCAAGCCAUUGCUAUGUUCAAAAGGGAUUGAAGCUUCCCCUCGGACGUUUCGUUACCUGACGUAGGUUCGUCCCCAGAUUCGGUCUCUUCCUCUCGAACCGAUCUUACCCAUUGAGGGAUAUCCGAGCCGUGUUCUUGAACAAGGUCUUGGAAGGGAGUUUUGCCCGUUAGGAGUUCAAGUAGGAGAACGCCGAAGCUAUAAACAUCGGCCGGCUGAGUCGAUGAUUUUCGGAUGUCCCGACAUUCGGGUGCCCUAUAGAAAAAAGUGGCCGCACUUGGCUCUUCUGGUGACUCGGGGUCUCGGAAUAACGUGAGACCAUAAUCCGUAAGGCAUGAUUCGAAGUCGGGGCCUAAUAAAACGUUCGAGGAUUUUAAAUUCCCAUGAGUUAAGCCUGGAUUUUGGUGAAUGUAAAGUAAUCCAGAAGCUAAAUCCUCUGCAAUUUUAAGACAAGAAGUCCAAUGAAGAGGCUUUCCACCACCAUUGGUUCUUGUUCCUGCAAGGAAAAAGACCAGUUAAAAACACUUAUGAAACAUGUAAUUUCCAUGUUCCUAAUUGAAAACCAAUCCGGAUGCCUUGCACUAAAAGUUAGAUUACAUUUUACUCUUUUCAUUUAAAAAUUAGAUAAAUUAAUUCCUGUAUUGAUUUUUUAAUUAAAAAUUCUAUUCAUUCGUACUACUAAAAACUGACAUAGCACGUACACCAUUUUGACAUACAGAGGGACCAAUUUGUCAUUUUGAAUAGAGGGAUAAAACACAAUUUAACUUUUAGUACAAAAACAUCUAUGGUACUUUCACUCAAUUUUUGCUUAGUUUAGUUUAGAAAAAUGAACAUUUCGGUUUUUUAAAAACCAAAAUAUUACAUAUCAAAAUCGGACCGAACCGAACCAGAAUGUAAAAAUGCCUAGAACCAUUUAAAUAAUAAUUUAAAAUUUUACCUCAAACAUCUACAAUUUUCAUAAACAUCAUAUUCCAUAAAACUAGAAAUUAUAUAUAAUAUAUACAUACACUAUUACAACCAACAAAAUGAAAAGGAAAAUAAUGACACCAUAGGGUUAAUUGAAUACAUAACAAAUUAUAAAACUGAGAAUUCAGAGAGUGGGGUGAAGGAACUGACAACAAUAACAUGCUGAAAUGUCAGACCAACACAGUUCCACAAUGAGUUGUCAAAAUAAAGCAAAACACUGUUAUUAAAAUUAGAGAUGUUAAUGGUAUAAGUCGAAUCAUAAUUCAAUAUUGUUUACUAGACUUAAACCCUAUCUAAAAUAUUUUUUAAAAAAAUCUUAUUUAGAUAUACUCAAAUUUUUAGGAUGCUUUUAUUAUAGAAAAAAGAAAAGGGCAUUUAACGGAACAAACUAAGAGUAUGUUUAGAUGAACGGUGAUUUUGAUAAGAUUAGAUACUAUAAUAAUACUAUAGCGUGAGAUAAAAAAAUAAACUAAAUACACAGUACGUAUAUCCAAUUCUACACUAAAUAAAUUUUCAGCUACCGUAACGUCUAUUUGUAGGCCUAUAGAGAAUGUAAGGAAACGCACAGCUUAGCUACUAGGACAGUCCCAACGAAACAUUUCCCAAUAAUAGAUUGUACUCUACUAAAACCACUAAUUGCAAUGUCGGGUUUUGAGAUAUUAUUUUUAAAAAUCGGAUCGGAAAUUGAAUUGACCAAACUUGCAAUUUGUCAAUUCAAUUGAAAAAUUAUUAAAAAUAAAAAAAUUAAUUGAUUCUUAGUUUAACCGGUUCAAUACUAUUCUUCAUAUUGAUAUCUUGAUUGAUUUUCUAUCUAACUAGUUCAAUCUGAUUCAAAGAUCUAGUUUCGAGUUUUAAAAUUUUCACAUUUAGAGUUAUUCUAUAAUCAAAUAAUUAGGGUUUGUUGAAUUAGGUCAUUUCAAGUUUUGAUUGGGGGAGUUAAAAUUGUUGAGCUAUGAAAAUGGACAGAUCAAAUCUAAUGAGUAUCACUUUGGGAUUUCAUCAUAUUCUAAGGAUAAAUCAAUAUUUAGCCUUUGAUCCUUUAUUUUUUUUCAAUUUGAUCCUCGAAUAAGAAAUGAUAACAUAACAUUUUAAGAUCGUAAAAUUUAAUAUACAAAAAAAAUAAAAAUUCAGAUGAUAUCAUAACACAAUCUUAAAACGCCAUUAUUAUCAUACCUUAAAAGUGGAAUCUAAAUUUAAAGAUUAAAUUAAAAAACAAAAACAUUUGUGGGUGAAUGAAAUUAUAGAACCUAACCCAUGGCCAUCGUAUUAUUUUAUGGGUGGGAUCUCUGAAAAGGACCUUUUUAAUGGGCACAUCCAAAAACGUGCAGUGCUAACUUUAUUCAAAGCAAUUCAACUUUUUGCAGACAAACAAAUUAUUAUACCUAAACUGCUUUUUUUAUAUAUAAUAUUCAAAUCCUCACGUUUCGUGUGCUAAACCCUAAAAUCAUGACUAAGAAUGUGACAUCUGCAAUCCUAAUUAUUUCUACUUAUUUAUAUAAAUCUUUAAAAAAUUUCACUGGUAUAAAUUAUUUUAAAUAAGAACAAAUAAAUUAAAAUUAAUUAUAGUUUAAUGUUACUAAUAAUUAGACUUAAAUUUCGAAAUCCGAAAAAUAGAUUAUUAAAAUUUUAAAAAUAAAAGUAUAAAAACUAAAUUCGAAAUUUAAGAUAAAUAUAGGACUGGUAGCAUUUUAACCUUUAGAUAGGCUACUUUCUUCCAUUCUCAAAAAAAAUUACCAUUGGUUUAAGGUUAUUAUAAGUGAGUGGGUUAAUAUUUUUGUCCCAAAACUACAAUGAGUAUUUUUUUAAUAAUUUUAAUUUUUUUAAUUGUAAUAAAUUUAAACCCUAAACUCUAAAAUAUGUUUGAAUGAGUCAAUUUUCUUUUUAAAUAAUCUUUGAUCAUAUAUCUACUCUUUUUUAAUAUAAGAUUUAGAAUUACUCAUAAUUCCUUCUUUUUAACUCGUAAAUAGAAAGAUAAUACGUUUUAGCGCACUCAAACUUACAUUUUCCUAUAUCAACAACAAUGCCCAUGUUAAUCGAGCUAAGACUUAUUCAAUAACAAUAACGUAAUUUAAACCCUAAACCCUAAAUGAAAUUGACUAAAUAAACUCGAUUCAUGUAAAAAAAUUAUAAUAAAAGAAUAGAGAAAUGAUUAUCAAAUUUGGGUUUGAACCUAACUCUAAAUUAUGAUUUCUAUUUAUUAUUUUGAAAUUAAAUUUUAAUUUUUUUAUUUUUUCUAAAAAUGUUAAAUCUUUUAACUAUUUUUAUUAAAGGACAGACAUCCACUCUAACUCAUGAUACUAAUGUGAUUUUUUCUAUACUGAAAGAAAAGUUUUUAAGAAAAAAAUAAAUGAAAAUUUGACAAUUUUUCACCUUAAUCUGUAAAUAUUUUUCAUUAAUCACUUAAAUGACCCUUUUUUUUUAAAAAAUUUUCACAUGAUAAAGUGGCAUUUGUAAUUAAAUCUAAAUUCAGAAAGAAAAAAAAAGACAAGUUGAAAAGAAUUCUCAAAUUUAGAAAUUAAAUGUUGGUUUACCCCCCCCCCCAAAAAAAACCAGGUUUAGAAAUCAUGCGAAAUUAAAGCAGAAGGACUAAAUCUAAAAUUUAAGCAUAGAAGAAGAACCAAAACAGAAAUUUGGCCCAGGAGUUAACUAACACAUGAAAAACAUAAAUGAUUGAAAUAAUGAAAGGUUCAGUGACCGACAACGUACCAUGAAUAAGAGAGAAGAGGCUGCCAUUUGGGAAAUAAUCAUAUACGAGCAGCCGUUCUUCUUUAGCUUGGAAAUACGCUCUAAGUGGGACCAAAUUAGGAUGUCUCAACCGUCCUAUUAACUCCACGUGCCUCCUAAACUCUUCUGAUCUUGGAUACCUAGCAUCUUUCAACCUUUUAACGGUCACGAUGAACCCAGAUUCCAUCACAGCUUUAUACGUACUCCCCAUUGUACCCCUCCCUAAUGUCUCCGCCGAUGCUUUCAACAAAUCCUCAAGACUGUAACUCAAUUGUUGAUCCCCAGCACCUACAAACACCAAACUCCCUACGCCCUCACUUUCCCAAAACCCUCCGCCGCCACCGCUUCCGCCGUCUCCGCCGCCAUUUCCGCCGCCCUCGGCCUCCACUCCCUCUGCUUCAACAACCCCUUUGUUUCUUUUAACCUCAUUUGUUGACUUAUUUUUCCUUUUAAUGAAAAUAAAACAAAGGAAACACAACAAGAACAAUAAUAAUAACCCACCAACACUUGCUGCUACAACAAUGAUGAUCAGUUUGGUUUUUUUGUUUGAUUUCCGGUUUAAGCUUGGUAAAGCCGGUUCAGUACCGGUUCCCGGACAUGGCUUUUUAACUUGCUCACCACAAAGGGCGGCGUUACCUAAAAAAGACGACGUAUUGAACCGAACUAAAGAUGGGGUUACUGGUAUUUGACCAUAAAGCUGAUUAUUUGACACAUUGAAGAACCUUAAACUUGUUUGGUUCAAUGGUGGAAUCGAUCCUUUCAACUCAUUGUUUUGUAAAUAAAGAGUAUAUAGUCUCUUGAGUUUCAAUAAAGAAAAUGGGAUUUCACCAUUGAUUUGAUUUCCAGACAAGACAAUGAUUUUCAACCGAUGUAAACCCGACAAUGAUAAAGGGAACUCACCAUUGAACUUGUUGUUGUCUAAGUAGAGGAUUUUGAGGUUGACUAAACCUGAAAGGUUAGGUAUUUGACCUGAAAUGGAAUUACCUUUGAAACUCAAUACUCUAAGUUGAUCUAAAAGGUUUAAGCUUGUACCAUUUAAUGAACCAGUUAAGUUCAACCGCUCUAAUACAAGCUUUGUUAUUCUUCCAUCUUUGCAUUCUUUGACACCUUGCCAUGAACAAAGAUUGGUGCUGCUUUGCCAUUGUAAUGAAUUGAAAGGAUCAAUGGUUGAUUUUAAAGCUAAAAGUGCUUCUGCAUCACCUGAUUUAACAAUAGGAACAAGAGAAAGGACAUAGAAGAUGAUGAAGAUGAAGGUUAAAAGAAGAUAGUACCUUGAAGAAAUAAGUUGUUCCAUUUUUUUGAAGCUUUAAAAAGGGAAGAAGAAGAAGAAGAAAGAAAGAAAGAAAUGGGGUUUCUUCAAAUCAACAUCUUUAUGCAAAAAGGAUCAAAAACCCAAUUUUUUUUAACUAAACCUUGAGAUCUGUCAUUGGUCUUACAUGCAUAAGAAACUGUAGAAAAAUAUUGGGUCAUUUUUGACUGAAACUAAGAGACAACAAAGGGGAAAAAAGGUUUUUUAUAUACUUAUAUACAAUGAAAUGAAAGCUUAAACCGGGGGUGGGGGAGCUAUUAGCAUUAAUAGGGUUUCUAAAAUACCACACUAAAAUGCUGAAGAAUCAUUUUUUUUUUUUUUUGGUUUCUCGAACUUGUUAAUCUUGAAAACACUCACGGACAAGGCAGCGUAGUGUUCACGUGAGUUUAUCACAGAACUUGCAGAGAAAAUAAUGAUAAUAAUAAUAGUAUUAACUUUUUUUUACUAUGAUUUUUUUCUAUAUAGCAACUAAAAAAAUAUUAAAUUAAACUAUUUAUACACACUAAGACCAACUUUCUUUUUAAAAGCUUAUUCUUGGGCUUCUCAAAUGUGGUUUAUGACAUAUACAUACAUACAUACAGUGAUAUGCAAAUCACUGAAUGGUGUAAACAGCAAAGACCCAGAACUUAAAAAGCUUAUAGAAAUUCAACCCAAUGCUAGAAAUCAUUCAAACAGUACAAAAUUGGCAAAUCAAUAGGCAAACAAAAGGGCUUUCAAGACAAAAAAAAAAAGUACUACAGCUCAAGUGGUUCUAUGGUGAAUUAGAUCUACUCGUAUUGAAUGUAGUAAUAAUAAUUCAAAGAGAGAUAGGAGAGAGACCGUGUUUAUGAACCAGUGUUUCAGGAGAUAGGUGAAGGGAUUGAAGGCAUAGCAAAGCAAUAUUUUUUUUUCUGGUUUUGGUUUGGAGAGUUUAAGGGUUGGGUUAUUUAAGUAGCUUAUAAUUCAAUUUAAGCCAGUUCAGUUAAAAUGUUGUUAUUUGAUGAUAUAUGUUUUAUUUUAAUUUAAUUGGAACGUAUAAAAAUUUGUAUAUUUCUGGUUUUAGUCCAUUUACUAUACAAAAUUUUGUGAUUCUAUCUCUAUAUUUGGUAAGUUCAAACUGGUAAUAAUGUAUAUAAGCUAUUUCCCUUAAAGUUAUGGAUAUGCAUAAUUCAAUUAAAAUCAAAUUAGUUAGAUUAAUUAGUCUAUCAUUAAAAUUAAUUCGAUCAAAGAUAAAUUAAAUAUUUUAUAAAAAUUAGAUUAUUGAUUAAUUUAAUUUAAAAUAAUUAAAUUAUCAAGAUUAAUAAUAAAUAUUUUAUACUAUAUAAAUGCCCAAUAGAUUGGAACUAUUAAUAGGCUGUGGUACAAAGAAAAAGUUAAAUAGAAUUAAAAUAUAACAAAAAUAAUGACUUAAAAAUGAAAAAUAAAAAUAAAAACCCAACUCCCCUGUGUUUGUCAGUGUUUUUUUUUUUCCUUUCACGCUGCUGAAGUGAACUGGUCCUCCCUUCUUCAGUAGCUUUUUUUUUACCUUAUUUUUCUCUUUUUCAUUUCAAGUUAACCGCAUCAUUUAAUCUUAACAGAUCUUCGAAGCAAAAAAGAAAAAAAAAUAUUUUUCGAAACCCCGUCGAAUUAACUAAAAUUAUUUCAGUUUAGUUAUUUUUGUUAAAAAAUUAUUAACAAUUAAUUAAAUUAACGAUACUACCGAAUCGAUCACUCAAGCAGAGGGAUCAAAACAUUAUCGACCAAUAUUUUAAAAUUUAAAAAAUAAAUUAUAUCAAAUUAAAGUAAAAAAAUUAAAUUAUAAAUUUUAAGAUAAUAGAGGGGCUAAAAACAGAAUUAAUCCAUCAAUACUCCGGACACUGGUCUGACCUGAAACGUGUAAUAAAUAAUAAAUGGAAGACACGUGGCGAAAAGCGUGCUUCAAAAGUAGUCGAAUUCACGUUAAGAGGAGAGAUCGAUGUUUGGUCUGGGCUAGCUGUCACGUUGGCUUCAAGUCAAGAUUGGGUAGAAGUGUAAUUACACAUUUUAUUUUAUUAUUUUUAAUUCACAGUUCGGAGGAUGGUCGUUUUAGGACAAUCCCGACUACCUUGCCGGAAAUCUAGGUGCAGACCAGACUUCAUCAUUGACUCAAACGCAAAUUUUGGUUGAUUUUGUCAACUUUUAAUUUUAUUUAUAUAUUAUUAGGUUGAUUUGCCGCAGUAAUUAAGGCUAAUUAAAAAUUUAUGAGAUCACUAAAAUUAAAGACAAAGCUAUAGGAUAUGUUACCGUGUAACCCAGUCGAACUUGGAUAGUGACAAUUCAAGUUUAACUUCAACUUAAAAUUGGUUACCCGUUAACCAAUUUUCAUACGAGCUCAUUCAUAAUUAAUAAAAUUUUAAUUUUAUACUUAAAAAGCUUAACUAAACUCAUAGACCAUUUGAAUCGAUGCUCAAAAUUGAUCCGACUCGAACUCGACAAUAAUUACCAAAUCAAAUUCGAUUUUAAAAAAAAAAUCGAACUCGAAUAAUAAUUUACAAACAUUGAUGCGUUUGUUUACAUCCCUAAAAACCACUCUUACCACUUUCGGUAGUCCACCUCCAUGGUGAAAAACACACACUUCAUCCCAAAUGAAAGCGACUAAAUGCAAGAAAGAGUUGGGUGAAGAGAUCCCAACACCCAAUACAAUAACCCACAAUAGUAUUCCCAUGAACCAUAUUAAACCUAGCUCCCCCGGUGGGCAAAGAUUUCUAAAUCCAGCCCCAUCUGAAUUUAAAUUAUAAAAAACAUAUGAAAAUAAAUUAAUAAUUUUAACAUAUAUUUUAAAUUUCAAUCGUAAAAUACAUAAAUAUUAAUAUAAUUAUAUUUUUAUUAAUUUAUUAUUUUUAAAAUAAUAAAAUGAAUUCUCUAUGGUCAAGCCCCUAACCUAACACUUCUAAACCAAAUCAAAUUAAAAAUAAAUCAAUUUAUUAAUCUGAAAACCGAAAAAUCCGCUUAGAUUGGGGUAAAACUAUAAUGAAUUUUGCAAUACAGUUGAAUUUAUCAAUAUAAUCCAAUAUCUUUAUUAUACUAAUCUAAAAUAUUAUCUAUGUUCUAGAUCUAGAAAAUGAAAUGGUUUGAUGGUUAAAAUAUUGUUAAAAUAUAAAUAGGCAAUUACACCUUAACUGAAGCCCUCCGUAUAUGUGUAUGUAUAAGGCUUGGCUAAGACUUAGAAUGGUAGGUUUUUGUUCUAUCAACAAGUCAACCUUCAGGCUUCUAUAUAUUGCUGUUCAAAGUAUAUUUAAUAACCCCUUCCAUCUCUCAACUCAACUCAACUCUAUAUAUUGACUCAGCAAUUACACCUUAACUGAAGCCCUCCCCAUAUGUGUAUAUAUAAGGCUUGGCUAAGACUUAGAAUGGUAGGUUUUUGUUCUAUCAACAAGUCAACCUUCAGGCUUCUAUAUAUUGUUGUUCAAAGUAUAUUUAAUAACCCCUUCCAUCUCUCCACUCAACUCAACUCUAUAUUUUGACUCAGCAAUAUCAAGCAUCAAAGCACAUCAACUCUAUAAAUCAAGCAUGUGCAAUCAAGUCCGGUAUGUCUCAUAGUUCUAUAUGUUUUAGGUUCAUCCAUGUAUUCAGCAAGAUCUUUACAUACAUACAUAUUUACAUGCAUACAUACAUAAAUUACAUAUAUAUUAGUACAUGCAGGAUGUUGCAAAAUGGUAUCGAUUUCUCAUCAGAACCUACAAACUUCCUUUAGACAGAUUAAAAGUUUGUAGAAUUCAUGUACCUAUUUUGCUUCGUCUGCUCUCUUUGCAGGGUACAGAAGGCAUGUCUUAGCAUCGAUUCUUGCAGUUUUUUCUUCCUUGUGUGUCACUGUUGACCUGCAUAGAUCAGUGUAUCGGAUGAUACUGAGUAAUACCUCGUCUUGGUGGCAACUUCCGUAAAAUGAAAAGGACCAAAAUUGAAGGUAAUAUCUCCACCAACUGCCCAAUAAAAGAAAACAAAACGAAAAGAGAAAGUUUCUGAGGAUAGUUGAACGCCAUCUUUGUAAUCAACAUCAAGAAACAACAUUAAAAUACUUACAUAUAUAUAUAUAUCAUCAAUUUCAGUAAUUCCUCUCCAUUUUGGUAGCAAAAUAGAAAAAAAAGUUCAGUCAGUUUUCUUUCAAUUUCCCCUAUUUUAGAGAGCUACAUAUAUAUAUAUACUUGUUCAACAGAGAAACCUAGAAGUUAGCCUCUAGCCUUUUAUAUAAACAUAAGCAGUUAAAAGAAAGAGAAAAGAAUUAGCAAGACAUGAAGAAAAUAUUAUUAACUGUACUCUCAGGUAAAAUUAUUAUCCCUAAAGUUCGAGAACUAGUUUACAAAUAAUGAUAAUAAAGUCGCAACUCACAACUGCAUCUAAAAAUUUCUUCCACAUAACAAUCUGAUGGCAAAGUCUUAUAAAUUGCUUACGAAAUUUAUUGAAAUAUGCAUUAAAUUUAGCAGCAAAAUAAACAAGGAAACAAGGAAGUGGCAAUCUUCUCAGUUUUCCUAUGGCAAUGAAAAGGGUUAAGCAACCUCCACACUGAAUUUCAAUAUGAUUGUUUCAAUCAUGAGAAACUUAGAAACAUGAAGAAAUAUUUAUUAAACAUACCAGGUAAUAUAUGAAGUUUAGAACUGGAUGGUUCAGAACAUUAAGAUCAGCAGCUUUAUCAAAUGCAUCAAAGCACAUCUAAAACAAAAAUUAACAAUGGAGCUCAAAUUAGCAAACGCUUUGGACAAACAUCAUCAUAGAUGAGCAAAGUCCAAGAUAUGAAAUUCAGUAAGAUGCAUACUACUUUAUCACCAUUGAAUAGAUCAACAAUUUAAACCAACUAGCAGCUAAGGUUCAACUAAAAUGCUUUCAUUUUGAAACAGAAGUGCUAUAACAUUAUGGGAAAAUAUCUGGUACACUGCAAGUGGAGUUUUUAGAAUCCACAAGCAGAGUUAGAGGGCUGACAAGUAUCAUACAGAGGUAUAGUAAAAUAUUAAAAAAAAAACACGUGGAAAUUUUUUAGGGUUGCUUAUGCAAUAAAAACAAAUACACUGCCAGUGUACCAAAUACUAACCCUAACAAUAUACAUACCUAAAAGUUUCACAAAAGCCUAACAAAACGUGUAGUAUUGUCAAUUUGAGAUUUGUAGUGUUAGUAAAGCCAGAAAGGAGAUUAAUAAUCUACCAUAAUGCAUCUGACUAGGAAACAUGAGGAGCAUAUGACAGUCACAUAACCAACCUGCCAAAUAAAAAAAGAAAUAACAAUAAAAAAUUGUAAAUAGAAGGUCAAAUUGUUGUACUUAAAAACCACAUCUACUUCCAAAGUAAAUAUGUACUUCUUGCAGCUUAUUUUGUCGCCCUUUGGACUCUACAGGGAAUCGCUGCAACAUUAAGAAAAGCCUGCAAGGAUUGAACUUAUUACAUAUACAUAUACAUAUACAUAUACAUAUACAUAUACAUAUACAUAUACAUAUACAUAUACAUAGAGAGAGAGAGAGAGAGAAUUUCAAGGUAUAUAUAUAGUAUGGUUACAAUGUUCACUUACAAAUGAAUGGGAGAAACUGUAAUUACGGCAUAAAUGAAAUGAAUAGAACAAAAAGGGUCAGCCAUAAUUUUCUCUGGGAAGUACCAAAUAAACAUGAACUAAUUUAUCAGCAAAAAAUAAUAACUGUUCCAUAACACUGUUGCCAACUGAAUUAUCAAUGAUGAGCAUAGAUGUUAGAAUAUAGGUGGUUGAGGAUGUGUGGACACGUGAUGUGAGAGGGACAUUAUCACACCUAGAUAGCUCUCAUGCAUUUAAAACACUUAGCAACAGUACAAUAUAUGGCAAUAUUACCUUCCACCAUAUAGUAAAAACCCAAGGGCUGCGAACAAUGAGACACCUGCCCAUUUACGUAAGUCAGGAUCAAAAACUUCCAUUCAUUAUUGAAAUAACAUGCGAUUGCUAUCCAUAAAGGAUUAUUAAUUACCAAGUGAUUGCCCAUAAUAAAUCUAUAGAGCGUCCAAAGUUAAAAGUUAAUUGUUAAAUGUACUAAGGACACAACAACUACUUACCUGCAAAGAACAUCUUCGAUAUGAUGACCAAAACUGGGAUAUACUUCCACCAUAAUACCAGCCACAUUGCAAUCUGAAAUCAAUUCCACCCCCCCCCCCAAAAAAAAAAAAAGCAAAUAGAAAAGGGAAUUUUAUUAACACCUCGUCACACUUCCAAAUAAAGUCAAGUAUCCAACACUUAAAACAUGGUUGACAAAAUGACUGAAGUUGCUAGGAUGAAAAAACAAUGUACCAUAGGUUCAAAUUUACUACUAAAAUCUGCAAAAGGUGCAAUUUACAUCCUAGUCACUGUUCUAGUAAAGGAAAUAUUAUCUUCUAACCUAUCUAACACCUUAACAAGUUUUUUUUAUGGUUUAAGUCUCAUCUGACCAGCUCAUGAUUAAUAGAGGCCAGCAUCAGGGUAGCUUGUUGGCAAUAUUCCAGCAGAAGAAACUGUGUAACAUAAUAAGCAAAAGGAACCUAUUGCUAAAACAUAAAUAUGCAGUGUGCACAGGUCCAAGUCUCAUUUACUAUAGCAUCACACAUUAUUUAAGUAUAAUAUAAUUAAUGAGAAGUUCCAACCAGGUUAAAGGUACUGUGAAAAGAAAAUCUAAAAAAGAAUGGUUAAAGGUCAGAGACUAAUUGCCAAAGGAACAAAGUGCUAACAGAAAUGGAAUACUGAAGCACUAUUAGCCAUCCAACUCCAUUGCUGAAGCAUCUUAGAUGUGAUGUCUCAAAAUCAUGACUAACAACAGUUGGACAAGAGUACAGCUAAAAAAGAGAAGAGGACAAAUUGAAACAUAAAACACAAGCCAUUUCAUUUAUCGUUUUAGUAUAUUGAUAGCUGGGACUAUAAAUGUAGGUGCCAAACUCAACUGACUUAAUGGAGGCAAUAGCUAUGAGAAAGAACUUCAGAGUAUGACAUAACAACCAACACCAAGAAACUUCUGACAGAAGAUAACAGGUUUAACUUAUUAGAGGUUUAUAUAACAUAUGAAUGAAAAGAGGCACAAAUGCCUUGUACCUUAAAUAGAAUUGCGCUAACAAUUGGCAUAAUAACUGAAGUUUGAUAGAAAACAGGUACAGGAAUAGAACAAACUACUUAUUCGCAAGAAAUAAGGAGGUGACUCAAGGUAUACUGUAGCAAGUUCGUAACUUCAAAUGUAAAAAUUAUUCUGGACAUAUGCAGCAAAGCGGUCCUAAACAGACCAAUUUUAACCAUCCCAAAUUUGCCUUUUUACUUGUUGCUAAAAUGUGUCUUUUGUCUUUAAUUAAAGACCCCAAACCCCAAUAUUUAUCUCAUAAAUAUGAAAAAGUUCUUUAAUUGGACCCUUGAGUAUUACCUAGCUUGAUUCUCAUAUAAUGAAAGAACUAAAACAGAUAUUAGUCUACCGCAAUCUUGUCACGUGGAGGACGAUAUUUAGACUCUCCCUCCAAGGAGAAGGAUGAAAAAUAAACAUUAGCUAAAUAAAUAAUUAAGCAAAACUAUAUACGACCGCUGUUUUUUUACAGAACAUGACUAGCUUCCAUUUUCCAAUAGAAAUAAUACAACUUCAAAUUCCUUUCUGUACGCACUUAUAGAAAUAAUAGAGCAUAUGUUUCACCUGAAUGGAAUAAACUGCCACAUUUAUUGUAAAGAAAAUUGGCCUCAGUCCAUCAGUUGACUCGGCACGUGCCUGUUUUAAGAUGGGCAGGGUUUAGAUAAAGCUAAGUAAUUCAAAACAAGAUAGACCAGGGCCGCAAGGCAAACUUUCAAAUAAGCUAACCUGGUAGUAGAUCUCAGCCCAAAACAAAACCAAAAGUGCAUAUGUCGUGAAGAACACUAGACUUGGCAUGUCCAGCAAGAUGUGUCGAACGAUCUAAACAAAAAUGAAAGUAAGCUACCUUAAGCAACAAAUUUUGAAUCAUUGAAGCCCGAGUAUAUAUAAAAAAGAAAACAAAAUGCGCAAUCAUUUAUCACAAACCUCUGGAUGUAAGUCCUGCACAUUCCGCCUGAAAAUAAAAACUAGCCCACGAACUGUCAUAUGAACAAAAGCACGAUAAAUACACCAGAAUAAGAAUAAGUAUAAGAAUCCGCGAAAAAAAAGUGAUAAACAAAAAUUUCCUGAUACAAACCCCCAUUCACAAGAAAAUUUAGAAAAUGGAAGACCUUCUGCGUGGUCCAACCGAAUUCGGGAACUCUCAAUUGUAUCCGUACCAAUUGAACCUAUAAACAUUAACAAAUAAACGAGUUAAGAACAAAGAUGGUAGCAAUUAAUCGCUAAAGAGAAUCUUCAUACAUUAUAUAAAAGUACUACUAAAAAAUAAUCUUUACUGUAAGCUAUCAUCAUGCAUCAAUGUUCCUAGGCAACUCGAUCAAACAGAGAUAAACCCUAAUUACUUACAAACAAAAAGAAAAUAAAAGAGGAACGGAAAAGAAAGGGAAGGAGAGGCCGUACGAGAGCAAUGACGGCGACGAGGCCAUAAAGGGCGGUGAGAAUGUGAAAAAUGCGGUCCUGCCAGAGCGGUGAAUCGUUAAUGUCGUGCCACCAAUUGGAUUCGCCGUUCAGAUUGUACGGUAUCACCGCCUCGUCGACGCCGUAAAGACCCAUCAAAAUCUCUCUCUCUCUCUUUCUGGUGUUUUUUUUUAAUUGAAUUUCCAAAUUUAAAAAUAAUGAAAGCCGAAGCAAACAAACACCGCCGGCGCGAAACAAGGUGGUUUUUAAUUUCAUGUGGAGGGUACCGGCAAUACCCGGUAACAAACUUGCACGAUGACCGCAUUUCUCAUCUUACGUGUCGUUUCAAAUGAUCGCCACUUCACGCGCUAACACCACGUGGCAUGGCAGAUAUGCUAUGGGCAAAAUGAAUGACGCCUAUAUAAUAUAUACUAAAGGUGAUUGUGACUAGACAUGUUGAGUUACGUUCAAAAUUUAUAAAGGAUUUUUAAAAAUAGUAAAAAAAAUUAAUAUAGUAUAUUUAUAGUUAAUUAUUAAAUUGUCAUAAAAAAACAUAAAAUUAUUUAUUACAUAUAAUUAAUUUAAAUUAAUUUUUAUAUAUUAUGUAAUUUAUAAUACAUAAAAAUUAAAUUUAUAGUAAUAUAUAAUAUUAUUAUAAUAUAAAUAUUAAAAAAUUUAAAAUAACAAUAUAAAUUAAUUAAAUAAAUAUAAAUAAAUAUUUUUUAAAUUUAAAAAAAUAAUAUGAAUGAGUCCAAAAUAGGCUUUAGUUAACCAUUUACAAAUAUGAGCGUGUUUAGGUACAAUUUUAGGCCUAUAUUUAGGGUCGAGCUUGGUUAAGGUAAACAUAAAGUGUGUUAAUAUCAUGCUUAGAUCAAUCUUGAACCUGACCCGAAUCGACCCAUGAACACCUCUAGUUUGAUUUAAGUUGACUUGGUUUUAUGUAAUUGUAUUAAGAAUUUGGUUUAUAUAUUUGUAUGACUUUAUUAAUUUUAGAAUAUAUUUUUUAUUAAUAUGUUCUAUUUGGGUAUUUUAUUUUUUCCUUUAAUUAUUAAAAAAUUAUUAAAUUUAUUAUUUUAUAGAUAAUUUUUUUAUUGAAAUAGAUAUGGUUUAACAUUAAAUUUAUAAUUAAUGAUAUUAGUAUGCAUAAUAAGUCAUGUUUAAUCAUUUGUAUUAAGUAUAAUACUACGUAUUAUUAAAUCCACAUAUUAUGUGAUUAUUAUUUUAUAUUAUCAUUAAAUUUAAAUUUUAUAGAUUUUAAAAAUUAUUAUUUUAUAUAUUUGUAGUGUUUAAAAAUAUUUUAUAAUUUAACAUAAGAAUCUAUUGUUAAUUAUUUUUGCUAUUAAUAAAUUUUUAAUAAUACAUUAUAAAAUAAAUAAUUAUCAUUUAUUUAUAUUUUUUUAUAUCAAGUAAUAUCAUAUAAUAUAAUUAUUAAUAUCUAUUAUGAUUGUUCAUAUAUAAAUUGUAGGUUUUUCAAGUUUUUGGGUUGGAUUCAUCUCAGAUUUAAGUUGAAAAUUAAUUUUGAACUCGAAUGCUUACAAACUCAGACUUUCUCGAGCUUUUGAAAUUUUUUAAUUUUAAGUUUUCUCGAACUCGAAUGUCGUUACGAGUUCGGACCUAUUUUUCUAACUCUAUCGACCCAUAAAAUAUUAUUGUUUUUUUAUUUUCAAAAUAUCGAUCCUCAUUCUAACAUUUUUUUUUUACUUCUUAAUUUCAAUAACAAAUGACUGUGUGUGUCACGCUAAUUCCUUGACAGUCGCACCAUGCUGGCAAAGAAGGGGCAUCAGAUUCUUUGUUUAUAUAAAGAAAAAUGGAAUAUAACUUUCUUUUUUCUUUUUGUACGAAAGGGUAUAACUUGUUUUAACAUACAAGAAAACAACAUCAUAUCAUGUGUGUAGAGAAUUUGGGUUUAUACUUUGGUUCAAAUUGCUCUAAAUUCUUGUACUUUUCAUACAUUUAGAUUUUAGUCCCUAUAACUUUCUCUAUUUUUUUAUAUUUAAAAAUGUAAAUCUAACUAUUAACAUUGUUAUAUAUCAUCCUUUGCAUGGUUACCACGCAAAAGGCAA